rnacentral:lncRNA from 1 species
UGAAGACAACGUAAUGGAUGAAUUUGCUUAUCACCGGAAAUGGAAGAGACCCAUGGUAGAAUGGCACAAUGGCGGUGCAAGCUGGGCACAGAAUGCAAAUGCUGGGAAUGAUUCUGGUAACUGGGGGAAGAACCAAACAAUAGAGAGUGAAUUCACUGUUUGAAAGGUCAUAUCAUUGCCGAGGAAACUGAGAGGAAUCCCAGUUAGUGCCGAAGAUAACACCUAGCGCUUGUGCGUGCUCUCAAGAACUUGAGCAUUUCCACAAUCAUCAAGGUUUUACCAACAUCCGUGUCAAGGAUCCUGGCAACACAACUUGCUACCAUGAUGAAUGAUGAUGGAUGAUGCAAAUGCAAAGAAAGAUAACACUUUCUCAGAUUUCACCUUAGCGAGGCCAAGGAAAUAAAAUCUGGAUGAUCGACCGAGAGACAUUUAGCACUCCGCUUCUAAUGUUCUCCUUGAUGUGCUAGUGUAUCCCAUUCAUAGAUAUGGUUUGAUAACUAGAACAUCAAGUAAAAGGUCGGACUUCGGGAGCAAUAGAAUCCAUAAGGAACAGUUACGGAGGUAAAUCCUACAAAAUCCUUAUGGGGAGGUGGCCAACUUCUUCAAUCAAGAUACUACAAUAAUAGGUCUUUCGGCUGGGUGGUGCUGGCCACGACAUCCACUUUACCAGUUAUCGAGGAACCAAUAUUAUAGUUCUUGGGGAAAUGUUCCAACAAUCAUAUCUGCCUGAGAUUCAGAUCUGGUUGGUGUCAGAAUAUUCCAGACCCAUCGAGUCUAGGAAGAAAAAUGAAAGUUUGCAACACAAAUCGACGAGAUGACGUUGCGGGAUUCUCGGGAGAUGAACUACGAUAGCAAGCUCCAAAACAUGAGUUGGUUCUACUACAAACAUGUGAACACGUUGUCCCAGACAAGCAUGCCCACAUGGUAGUCUUACAAUAAAACACUACCGAGUUCUGGUUGGGAACCAUCAGCGAGGAUAUCGAAGUUCUUUCAUAAGUCCGGAUUAGCUCUUAUGAAGAUACUCCUUCUCCUUGAACAAAUCAGUCAGUGGCUUGGUGUGCUAGGAUACACAUAUGGAAUGAAGGUUGCAAGUCUCCAGAACACAGAAUACUUCGCACGUGUGCAUGACUGAUUUGGGGAUGAUUCCAAAGGAAACAAAACAAUCUUCCUCGAAUUCACGACGGCAACUUACAUCAAAUGCACGUGAAUCAAAGGAAGUCACUUCUUUCAUCCAAACAUAUACUUCAUGAUCGGGGCAUGAAGAAAAUGCUUACACAAGUGUCCAACACUAGGUUGAUGUUCAACAUGAUUCAUGGGGGGAGACAAAAUGCUACUGAUGGGCUCAACAACAACUCAUCGGAAUUUCCAUAUCACUGGACUUCCACCAUCAUGUGAACACGGUGAUAGCAUUGGUCAGACCAAAGAUGUAAUGGUGUAUGCUCGAGGGAUCAACCACGAGUAAGACAACAUUACGAACAUCGUUGGUACUGAUUUGAUUUGACGAUAGCCCACACUCAAAUCAAAGGAUUGAUAAGACAAUAGGUCCAGCAACUGACCACAGGGACCAAUCGAUGAAGAUAUCAUCUUUCUUCAACACACACUACACAAGAAUAUCCCUUUGGAACGAACUAAGUCAGGCAAGCUUUUAUCUUCCAACUCUCCAAGUUGUUGUCUAGCUUAACCAACUAGCUCAGGGAUAUCUAACACAGAUUCUUGGAGAGAAGGUGGUUCACAAGAAACCAACUUGAUCACGAGCCCAACAUAACAGUCAGGAAAUAACCCGGUAACGCUUCCAAGAAGAUAUUUGGAAAGUCACGAACCACUGGUAUGUUACUAAGCUCGAGAACAAUCUUGCCUUUCAGGGCAAGACGAUAUGAUCAAAUGAGCGAGGGAUUGAAAGAAAAUCCUAACUCAAUGAUCGGAGAGUGCACCAGAAAUAAGGACUAGGUAGCACAAUCAACCUUAGGGUGACGAUUCAAUAAUCAACACGCUAAGAAUGAGGUUAUCGUCCAUUUAACUACCAAGCAAUGGAGUUGCUAGCAGUAUUGAUUUCACACACCACGAUUCACUUGUCGGCAUUCCGGUUACGGUAACACAGGAACCGAGGAAUGAACAAUGAUGGCAAGAAGUAUCACUGUACCAAGAGUUCAUAGGAUGGUGUGCAAUUCCUUUAACAAUCCCGAUAUAAGAUGGUAAUACUCCAAGGUAGAGCAGAGCAAAAGCAAGAUUAGCAAUUUGAUCUGCGGAGUAUGACUUCUUUGACCCAAUCCUGGAAAUGGAAGAGGUACUGGAGUUUGUUUCUCCUAGUAAUUCUGCGAUAGAAUGGCUUGACGGACCACAAGAGUAAUAGGCAUCGAUAAACGAACGCACGCAUACUCUUGACUAUCAAUUGAUAGACGAGGGUCAGAAUGCAACUAAAGAGAACAACUCAAAGGAACAUAUAAUUUUCUGAGUUGUGGAUGCAUAGAUUAGUAUGUCGAACCAAGUUCAACAUAUUUUUUUUCCGGAUAACCCAUGCAGAAAGGUUGAACUGGCAGAGCCACAAUAUAUAAUGGAGAACUCAUCAAGAGCACUCUGGUUGUGAUUGUUCAGUUCAACGAGGAACUUCUGCCAUAAGUAGUUCAUGGUAUUUGGAAGAAGAAGAUACCACGGACUUCAAGGACUAUCGCAAAGGUUACUAAUAACCUAAGGGAGCUAGCAAUACUAUCAACAUGAUGUAAGUAGGGUGAAUCUCGGUUCGAAAACCCAAAAGUGAAAUGCCUACUAACUAAGUGGCAUCACGGGAUGCUUACGAGAAUGAUGGCCAGAAUCUUCACACUGGGAACACAAAACAUUGCUAGAUUACUAGGUGACUCCCUAAAACACCUAGGGUCAUAAUAGUAGCUCCAACAUAUAUGUCAAGGUAAUAAAGUACCUCAACUCACUGAUUUGUGUGAUUAAUCUCACCAAAGGCACAUCGGAAACAGGAGGAAGGGAUUUGCAAAUGCAUCCGACUAUUUAGAAACCUGGGAUGACUCGGACAGCAUAACGGCUGUAAAUGCUCAAAAAAGAUUUGAGACAUUCACAGAAAUGGUGGCAUAACCACUCAGAAGCACAAUAUCAAGGUCUCGAGAUCAAUAAUUAACAUACGGAAGUCGUAGGAACUGAACUCAAGCUCAAAUCCAACAAUCUUAUAAGUCUACGGAUUAGUAACACGUGAUCCUGAUAGAAAGAAGAGAUAGCCUAGUUCUUAAACCCCGUAGGAAAGAUAAGAUGACUCAGAUCAGAAGGCAUAAGGUAUAAGGAGUAAAAAGAACCUUACGUUCCAUCCCACAAUCAAUUCCCUUAUAUAACUAAAGAAUUUCUAGACUCAACUUCGACCAGUUUGGCUUGGUAAUCCUACAGGCAGUCAAGCUCUGAUACCAACGCUGUCAGGACCCCGACUCGAUGCCACAUAGGUCUAGCAUGUAACACCUCAUAUCACUUUGCGGCCUCACGCACGGUAUUCCCACGGGUGUCGCCUUACCUUUGCCCGGGACCAUUUGCGCCUUUUGGCACACGUAUAUGAUAGUGUCGCUAGCACCCAUAUGAUAAGGAGCCCGGGCUGACAUGGCUAGUCGUAAACCCAAAGUGGCACAGACUUACAGGGACAGGCAUCCAUGACCCAGCAUCGAACGUGUCAGUCAUCAGCGGGUGAAUCCAGGCUGUAGCACUGGGCUAGCAGGACUCCGGUGAACCGGGCUGUAGCGGGCUAACAGGACUCCGGUAUUCAUCGCGUGACAUUUCCCCGAAGGGACAGACACAGGAACGAAGAAGGACACAUGCCGGCCAGCCUAAGUGUUCCGAAGCAGUAGCAAGCUACCAUGGCUCAGUGAAACACUAGGAGACAUUUCCCCGUAAGAGAGGCUACUAAAGAUAAACAACUAGAUGGUCAGAUCCCACACAUACCAAGCAUUUCAAUAACAUACACACAAUAUGCUCGAUAUGUGCAAAUACAACAUGGCAUCACAACAUGACUCUACGACUCAAGUAAUUAUUCAAUAGGCUCCGAGGAGCGAGAUAUUACAAACAUGGGUCUCAUGACCCAACAAUCAGAGCAUACAAAUCAAAGCACAAGCGGAAGCUAUCAUGUCUGGGUACAGACAUCCAUAACUGAAAAAGGCUAAGAAGCCUGACUAUCUACCAGAUCCUGCCGGGGCACAAGAUCGUAGCUGAGGUAACAAGCUAAACGUCGAAGUCCACGCGAAACUACUAGUGAGACCGAAGUCUCUCUGCAAAAACAUAAAAUAGGCAAACGUGAGUACAAAUGUACCCAGCAAGACUUACAUCAGAACUAACUACAUAUGCAUCAUUAUCAACAAAGGGGAUGGUGGGGUUUAACUGCAGCAAGCCAGCUUUGACUCGGUGGCUAUCCUGAACUACGACUGCAAGUAACUCUUUGAGGUGGCGCACACGAGUCCACAUAUUCACCAUAUCAAUACACCACUAUGGAUCCGCUCCCGUCUCCCUACGAGAACGCCAUCCAUAGCACUCACGCUUAUCUUGCGUAUUUUAGAGUAUCCACUUUCACUUGUCUAUGAACUGAUAUAAGCAACCCAGAAGUCCUUUACCGUGGACACGGCUAUUCGAAUAGAUGAUGUUAACCCUGCAGGGGUGUACUUCUUCAUACAUGUUUCCACCACUUAGCGUCUGCACACGACAUGUGCUCGGCAGACUUCAAGCGAAAGCCGACGUGGGUGUAGACCACGACCUACCUAAACACUCAAGUCUCUAGUCCAGGUUUAUCGCCUAUUCGGGUUCCAUCCAUGAGGAGAUCCGGCCGGAGUUUCACUCACAGCCCCAAACGAUGUGAACAGGGUUCCGUGACACCAAACGGGCGCCCGGUAUACCCGGCCACGUGCCUACCGCAUCACAGCCCACCCCUACGGUCAGCGCUGUCCACGGCCUCCAGCAUACUACAAACACCAGAAACUACUUGCAACUCCUGGACAGAGGACAAGGGUGAAUAAGAAGUCGAGCGGGGUCAUAUUUCAGGGCCCAAUGUAUGGUAGUAGCUGAAUCAUGGAUCACAAACACAGAACUCAGUUCCUGAGGACGGCUGCAAUGAGACAACCCACCAUGUACUCCUACAUGGCCUCUCACCGAUACCUUUUACCAAAUCGUGUUCACACACUUAGCUCACACAUAGUAGGACAUGUUCACACACCUCUGAUUCAUCCCCGAUGAAUCAGACCUGACUCAACUCUAAGCAGUAGCAGGCAUGACAAACAAACAUGAAUGAGUAGGCACAACAGGGCUCAAACAACUCCUACUCAUGCUAGUGGGUUUCAUCUAUUUACUGUGGCAAUGACAGGUCAUGCAAAGGAUAAAGGGGUUCAGCUACCGCAGCAUGUAACAGUUGAAUCGGUGUUGUCCUAAUGCAGUAAAAGAGAGCAGGAGCGAGAGAGUGGGAUUUUAUCGGAAUGAACAAGGGGGUUUUGCUUGCCUGGCACUUCUGAAGAUAACAUUGAGUCUUCAUCAGUGUCAACGAUCACAUCGUCGGUAUCACGUCUAUCGAGAGGGAACAGAUACUGGCAACAAAGAAGAAAUACAAUCAAUGCAAUGCACAAUAUGAUGCAUGCUCAUGACAUGGCAAUAUGAACGUGUUUUGAGCUAAUGCAACUAGCAACAGAUUAAAUGAAGUUGGUUUGAAUACAAGAUUCAAAUUCAAACUCCAUAUGUGAUUAUUCAAAUGCCAUUUAAUUGAUUUGUGCUAAACAGCAGCUAUAAGUUGUUCUAACAUGCAUGAAAAUGGUACAGAUGGAUUCCUUGAAUUUAUCUGAUAAUUUUUCAUAUAUAAAUUAUUUAAUUUGGAGUUACGGUUGAAUUUAUAUGAUUUAUAGAAGUUUAUACAAUUUUCUGGAAUUUUCUGAAUAAAAAUAAAUCCAGAAAACAUUACUGCGUCAUCCUGACGUCAUGAUGAUGUCAGCAGGUCAACGUGGCACAGUCCGGUCAAACCCUGACCUGUGGGUCCCGAGUGUCAGUGUCUAACUAAACUAACCUAGCUUAGUUAAUACUAACCUAACUUAAUUAGCCGGGCGGGGCCCGCAUGUCAGUGAGAGAGAGGGGGGUCAAACCGGCCAGUGGGGUCAAACCCGGGUCAAACUCGCCGGAGUUGACCCGAGGCUCGUCGCCGGCGAGGCCAGGGACGGCGGAGAGCGUCGGGAUUCUCCCUCCGAUGACCAAAAGAGCGGCGGAGGGGCUCUACGGAAUGCCCAGGCUCGCGCGCAUCUAACAGGGCAAACGGGAGAAGCUAGGGUGGAUAGAGGCGACGGCAAUCAUGACGACGGCGGCGGCAGAGUUUGGGUGGUGGCGGGUUUGGCGCUACGAGCGGUGGUUUGGCGCGCCGAGGGCACUAGGGAGAAGCUCUUGCUCCUCCGCAUCCAAAGGAACGGACGGGAGGCCGCGAGGUGGCCGGAGUUGAGCACGGCGUCGACCUCGGCGGCGGCCGGAGCUCGGGCGAGCUCGGGGUCGGUGUUAGGGAGCACGGCAGGAGGCGUUGUGGGUGUCUACGGGUUCAUGCGAUCGUGCUGAGCACGAUGGUGGGCUCGGGAGCGAGCUGUGGUGGCUGUGGCCACGGUCACGCCAUGGCCGGCGGCGAGAAGCUUCGGUCAUGGUUGGGGAUCGGGGCUAGAGCUCGUGAAGGAGGACGAGGGAAGGGGGAAUCGGGUCAAAGGCUCACCGUGGAGCUGCAGGGAUGGUUAGAGGGCUCGGGGGCGCGCCAGAGUGGCCGAAUCGACGGAGAAGGGCGCCGGGGCCGAAGCUUGGAGAUGAUGACGAUGGCGGCUGCUCGGGGCCCUUCUGGUCGCGUGAGACGUCGAGGAGGUCGAGGGAGGCACUGCGGAGCUCGGGAGCGCGUCGGGGAGGAGAGGGGGUGGCGGUGGCCGCGAGGGCAGCGAGGGUCAGCGACGGUGGCGCUCGGCCGGUUGUGUGCGAGAGGGACGGAGAAGGGGAGGGGCGAUGGGAGAGGUCGAGGGGGUUCCAGGGGGGUGCGUGGCGUCACCGGGGCGUCGAGGAGGAGCCAGGCAGGCUGGGAGGGAGGAGGUGGCCGGGGCGCGUGGCCGCGCGCGCCACCGAGCAGCUUCGGGGCGAGGGGGAGGAAGACGACAGGGGGAGAAGCGGCGGUGGGCUGGGCCGCUAGAGGAGUUGGGCCGGCUGGGCUGAGAGGUGAGCGCCAGGUAAGUCUUCUCUCCUCUCUGCUUUUAUUUAUCUAUUUUGUUCUGUGUUGUUUUAGUUUAGUAAAAUACUAAACCAUUUUAUAAAAUCCUAAAAAUAGUUAUGUGGCUAGAGCUAAAAUAUACCAAACCACAUAAAAAUGUUCCAGUAUUAUUGGACAUAUAUUAUUUAUAUAUCAAAUAUAUAUCCAAUGCAAAUAGUUAUUGAAUUAAUUCAAAGGCCCCAAAAUAAAUGUUUCAGUCACUCCAAAAAUAUUGGUUUGCAUUUUAUUCUUGCCAAUAUUUUUCAAAGCUGAAAAGGGACAUUUCCUUGGAAGCAUUUGAAGCAAUUUUUAAUGUUGAUCAUCAUUUUUAGAAGGUUUCUGAGGCUUAGAAAAUUCCCCAAUUCAAAUUUCAUUUGAAUUUAAACAUGAUGCACACAUGAGGGUCUAGCCUAGUGCAUAACAGGACCAGGGAUGUGACAGUAGGUGCGACAUAUGCCAAUGGGUGGCUUAUCAUUGUGGGAGCCAGUAAGACAUCGCCGGUGCCUGGAAGCGGGAUAAGGCGAAGACAUGCACGCCGGCGGAUCUUACCCAGCUUCGGGGCUCUCCGUGGAGAUAACACCCUUACUGCUGCUCUGCGGGGUCUCCGCAUGCUCACUAGAUGAAUUAAGUAACUACACAACGCUCCUUGAGCUGUUUGGGGGGAGGAGGAAGAAGGGCACGGCUAGCCUGCUUCUACUCCCUGUGUGGUGUCUAGAACUAUCGGGGGUCGAACCCUUUGCAUGGGUGCCCCAGGGGUUUUAUAUAGGCCUACCCCACGGGGGUACAAUGGUAAUCCGACUGGGCGCGGGGCCCAGCCGUCUGUGACUGCGCUCGCCGGCUUCUGCGCCGACUGCUAGGGCCCGCCAACUGGUGGGUCCCGCCGGCUGCCGGCACCUUGGUCGACAGGCAGGUCCCACUGUCCAGGGCCUGGUCGGCGGCUGGUUACUGUGGCUUCAUCUUGUUGACGUGAGCUUCAUCGUGGUAAACAUGGCUACAGUACCGCCGCCUGCGAGGCGAUCGUUGUAGCCUUACCGCGUCUUGUCUCCUUAAUGGGGCGUCCUCUUUGAGGAAAGCGGCAAGCCGGCUGCGGGGAGCCGGCUCUGUCUUGGGCCGACUGGUGGGAGGUGUGGCCGCCUUCGGGCGUCUCUCUGCUCAAAGGGGCCCACCGCCUGUGGGCCGCGCUGGCGGCCCGUCGUGGGUGAUGCCAGGGUCAGCAUGGCAACAGUGCCGCGCGGGACGGGUCAUGCCUACCCCGUACGGUGCACUGCGCCAGGCGUGCUCCGGGAUUCGGGGGCGGCAGGCUUUACUAUAGCCACGCCCCGUCGCACCGCCGUUAGGUGGGUGCAAACUUUCGUGGGUACGGCCUUGACCACUUUAGGGGGAGCCGGCUUCUUGGAGUCCGCCUUCUCAUGGCCGGCUUCUUGGAGUCGGCCUUCUCAUGAGGGCUAAAGUCGGACCGCCUUCCGAAAGCCGGCCUGGGUGGCAGCCAGCAAGGGGAAGGCGGCCCCUAUGUCUUGAAUUCUUGAGAGCCGGGCGGGCUCGUAACUUUUUUCAGAAGGGCCAGGGGGAGCCGGCUAGGCUACCCAUGGCUAUUUACUCCGACAGUAGUCCCCAAAGCUGAUCGAGCUCCGAGGCGAGCAGGGGGACGAGAAGCUUGGUCAGCUUCCCAUCCUGAAGAGCCGGCUUUGCGAGCGUACGCCGACUUCAGAGAGCCCCGCAUCUUACAGGCGGGAGGAGGGGGGUCCUGCGCGCUGACUAUGCNNNNNNNNNNNNNNNNNNNNNNNNNNNNNNNNNNNNNNNNNNNNNNNNNNNNNNNNNNNNNNNNNNNNNNNNNNNNNNNNNNNNNNNNNNNNNNNNNNNNNNNNNNNNNNNNNNNNNNNNNNNNNNNNNNNNNNNNNNNNGGGACGCCGACGCAGGCCCGGGCCCGCCACUCGCGAGCCUUGGUCCGGGCGCGGAUCUUCCGUGGCCCACAGGGGCUGCUCGCCUUCUCGAGGCAGUUUUGUUUCGCCGUUAAGGCUCAAUAAUUGCAGGACGUGGGGAGUGGGCACGAUCGAUCCCCACGCUUCCCCACGCCGCGCCUCCUCGGCUCCGCCACGUGAGCCUAUAAGUAGGGGGAGGAGGGAGAGCGACAGAGGUUCGCACGCUCUCUCCCGCUCCGCCCCUCCUAACCCUCGUUUCUUCCUCUCGCUGUCGCCGCAGCUUCCCGUCUCAGCGUCGUCGCGUCCCUACACCGCCUUGCUCCCAUGGUGUUGUCAAGCUCGUGGGACGGCUCCAACAUCCAUGACGACCAUGUGGAGUUCCUCCGCCAGACUCGGCGCCUGCCCGGCGCCGACCUCGUGCAAGUCCGCCUGGCGCCGGCGACGGAGAUCUCGCCGGCGCCGGAGGAGGGCGAGCGGGUCGUCUUCCACUCGCACUGCCUGUGCGGCUUCGGCCUUCCGGCGAGCGGAUUUCUGCGCUCCUUCCUCGACUUCUACAACCUCCAGCCGCAUUACCUCAUGCCUAAUGCGGUGAUACUGCUGUCGGCCUUCGUCUCCCUCUGCGAAGGCUUCUUGGGGCUGCUCCCCACGCUGGAGCUCUGGGGGGAGUUCUUCCAGAGCAAGCUCGGCACAGUCGUCGCCGGCGUGCCCGCCCCCUGCGGGGCCUUCAUCGCCAUGAGGAGGGCGAGCGAGAACAACCCGUUCCCGCCCAUCCCCCUCAUCCAGUCGGUGAAGGUCUGGCAAAAAUCGUACUUCUACGUGAAGAACGUCGCCGAGCAAGGAGACUACAUCAACCUGCCGGCUUACGUAGCCGGCCCACCGGCUGGGAGGCAGCCCUCGUGGAGUUUCCGGUCCCGGUCACUGUCUCCGGCCGGAAACGCCGCCAUCUCCCGGCUUCGGGUGAUGAUUCAGUCGGAAGGCCUGUGCGGGGCCGACUUGGUGGCCGCCUUCGUGGAGCGCCAGAUUCUCCCUCUCCAAAGCCGGCCCCAUAUGAUGUGUCAGAUGAGCAGCCGCUUCGACCCAAGCCGGCUGAGCACAUGGGAAAUGCCCCACGCGGAGGUGGCGCUCAUGGUUAAUUACAUCGCCAACUGCAAGCUCGGCGGGGACUGGCAAUACGGCAAGGCGCCGUAUUCUCGCGCCAAUCCUCCGCCCGUGGUAAGUUUCUCUCUUUAUCUUCUUUUUGUCGUCAGCCGGCUUUAUGACGGCCGGCCUCUGACCAGUCGGUUCUUUUGAGCAGAACCCUCUUCUUGCGCCGCCGGCUGGGGCGGCGGGAAUUGAACGCCAGUAUACCCCCGACCGCACGGUGGAUGAUGUUGAUGACCCGGACUUGGGGGCGGCUGCCAUGGAAGACGCCGUCGUGGGGGACAGUGCCGAGCCCGGAGGCUCAAGGUUCACCGCGAGCUUCGAGGACUGGCCGGACGAAUUCGAAGCCGAAGUCGCCCUGCUUCGCCAGCCGGCGGCCGACCAUCAGGGCGCGGGCUCGUCUAUCGCGCCGGCUGCCGGCGGCGGCGCACAAAAGCGCCGGGCCGCUUUAGGCCUCUUCGGCAGUCGGCCGAAGAAGUCCAAAGCCUCCGCCGCGGCGACCAAGCGAGACGAGGCGGCUGCGAAAGCGGCCUGCUUCCGCAAGGCGGUGAAACAGCCUCCGGCGGUCUCAGCGUAAGCCUUCAACUGCCUUGCCGCAUGCUCGUCAUCAUUCUCUUUCUCUUCAAAUAUUCUUCUUAACUUUUCCUCGCUUCCUGGACAGGGCGCCACUUUCCCUUGAGCAGGGUCUGGGCGGCUCCGUCGUGGGGCCGGCUGGAGGGUCUUCGAGCUCCCGUCGCGUGGACCCCCGCGCCGAUCUCAGGGAGGCGACAGAGCGGAACGCCCGCGAAGCGCGAGCGCGAGGCAGCGCAGAAGGCGGCCACCUAGGCGGCGAGGGAGCAGGCCGAAGCAGCAGCCAAGGCCCGGAGACGGAGGCGGAAAGCUCGCGCAGCCAGCCUCCGCUGCUCGCCAUUCCUCUUCGAGCCGUAGCCCCCGACACCCCAUUGCCCUUGGCAGAGGAGAUCGUCCAAGACCCGCCACUGUUGGAGAGGGGGAAGACCCCGUGGCCUUACCGGGGAGAGCGCCGCUAGCAGCGCCAACCGGAGCGGGCCAAGGCGGUCAAUCGUCAGCGGCACCAGAGGGGCCGGCCGGAGGUGAGCCGGCCUUGAGCUGCAGCCGGCGACAGGCCGGCGCGCAGGGAGAGGUGUCGCUCCACCGGAGUUGCGCCGAGCCGCGGCCGCAGACCAGUUGGCGGAAGAUCUGGAGGCGGCUAGCACUGCCACGUCCGAGUGGACUCCCAGCAGGGGAACUGGCCAGCUGAAUGUGGCGGCUCAAGGGGUCUGGAGCUGGCUGCAAGCUCAGGCCGCCCUGCUGCAACAGUUCACCCAGGAGUUCUUGUCAACGCGAGCCACUAUCCGGGUGAGUCCUUCGUUCUUGGCUACUUUGCUUUCUUAAUUUCUUCCGUGGGGGCGCGUCAGCGCACCCACUGGGUGUAGUCCCCGAGAUUCGGGCCGACUGCUGCGCAGUCGGGUCGGAUCUUUCUCGACGGCUAUCUUACUUUGCUUUUUCUGAACUUUCAGGAAUACCACAACCUUCGUGCUGCCGCCUUCAACUCCCAGGCUCGGGAGUUGAGCCGGCGGACCGACGACCUGGCCGACAGCCGAAGUAAGCACUUGGUUUGGUCUGUCUCCUGUGGGGGCGCGUCAGCGCACCCACUGGGUGUAGUCCCCGAGAUUCGGGCCGACUGCAGCGCAGUCGGGUCAGAUCUUUCUUGACAACUCUUUCUUAUUGGUUUUUAUUUUUCUUUGUCUUCAGGGGCCAACACCGACUUGAGGAAGGAGCUUGGCGAAGCGAAAGCCGCCCUUCAUACCAAGGAGGCCGAGUGCGCCGCCUUGGUCCAGGAAUGGGAUCGCUUAGCCAAGAAGCUGGCUGACCAAGAGGAGAGCCACAAAGCGGCCCUGCAGGCGGCGCAGGAAAGUGAAGCCGCCUUGAUGGCGGAGUAUGAGAUGGCGGAGGCGAGCUGGUCUGAGACCCGGCGAGCCCUGGACGAAAGCUUCGGCCGGAUAGAGGACUUGAUCGACAGUAAGCUGCCUUCCUCGGCCCUCCCCUGCCCCUUGCCGCUUGGGUUUUUUGACUUAUCUUGAAUUGUUGCUUGUUUUUGGUGCAGACUACUUCCCCGGCUACUCCGCCUUCGCCGCCCAAAGCAUUGAGGCCCAUCGCGAGGCGCGUCGACAGGCGGGAGCCAACAAAGUGCCGGAUGCAAACCGGACACUUGAGGAGCAGCUCCUGGCUAUCCAGGCGCGGUUGCAGCCGGCUCAUCGGAUGCUUCGCCGGCUCCAACGUGCCGGGGCACAAGUGUUGGCCACCCUCUGGCCCGGCAAGACGAUCCCCCGCACCCCAAGCCGAACUGCCGAUUGGCUGGAGGUCGCAGUUGGUCGCUUUGAGGCUUGGAAGGCGUCGGCGGCCCGCCUCGGAGCCAGGCGGGCGUUGGAGUUCGUUCGGGCUUGGUACCCUGGGCUGAGCCUGGACCAGCUGCGCACUUGGCGGAUGGAGGCCGACGCGGAGCUGGAGGAGGUGAGGCCGGCUAUCGCCCAGCGAGCUUCGACGAUCGCCGAGUGCACCGACAUCAGCGUUUUCGCACCCGAAAUCGAUGAUGACGGUGUUGCUCAGCCGGAGGAGUGGUUCGGGAUGAACCCGGCGGUGGGCGAGGACUCGGCGGAGGAGAUUGCCUCCAGCAACGAAGGCGAGGAUGACGAAGAGGAGGACGGCGAAGACGUCGAGCCGGCUGGUGGAACAACCGGCCGACCUCAGGCCGACCGCGCCUCCAGCAACGAGGCGCGUGGAAGCGCGCCCUCUGCGGGAGGCGGUGACAAAGCCAAAGUUCGCCAGCCGGCCGCUCCUUCAGCCGGCACGACCGUCUCCGGCAACCAGUCUGGCUCGUCGGCCGCUCCGCCAGCUUGACCUGCCGUCUUUAUCUUUCCUUCCUUGUUGUCUUUGAACAAUCUUUGUUAAGUUUUCGCAGUUCCACCCACUGGGGGUGUAUCCAAACUAUGCUGAAUGCUGGCCUCUCGGAGGUCUUUUUAUGUAAAUAUUAUCAUGUGCAUGUUUGGUUUCCAUUCGCGUAUGCUUUUUUAUCCUUAGGCUUUUUCCUUUGCCGCCUUCCCUCUUUGGGGAGGCAAGUACUUGAGCUUUCUUGGAUUGAAGUGAAGUGAAUGGAAACCAGCCGGCCGGCUACUCUGGUAGCCAGUCGGCGGUGUGAGAAAAGCCGGCUUUUGUUAUAUUAGUCCGUUAGUCCCUAGCCGUUUUUUGUGUGGGCGCCUGUUCCUGCCUUUAACUCUUGCCAGCCGGACAGCCGGUUCUUCGAACUGCGACUUUUGGCAAGAGAAGGCUUGGGAGUCGGCACACUACUUGUCUGACUGUGGGUAGGACUUCUAACAUAACUCCAGUCGGUGAGUCCCCAAGCCGACUAGUCGAACUCGGUGCCGGACAGAAUAAGUAAAUGACACGACAAGGUCAUAAGCAUGAUACUAUUCAUUCAUAAAUAAGGGAUGGCAGUCCCCGAGCCCUCCUCGGGGAGCCUAUUGUCUUGUACUUAAUACAAAGGUUAGCGCGGUACAUACUGCAUUUCAACUGUAAAAUCUUCGGAGGAGGUUGGCGUUCCAUGGUCGUUCCGACUCCUUGCCGGAGUCGUCUCUCUUGCGCGCCUUCGGCUUCUGUGCGUCGAUUAGGUAGUAGGAGUCGUUGCCUAGAGCUCUACUGAUGACGAAGGGGCCUCCCCAAGGGGCUGAGAGCUUGUGCUGGCCGGCUGUUCGCUGGAUCAGCCGGAGCACAAGAUCACCCUCUUGGAAGGAUCUUGGCCUGACCUUCCGGCUGUGGUAGCGGCGCAGACCCUGCUGGUAGAUGGCAGACCGGCUGAGGGCUAACAGUCGGCUUUCUUCCAACAGGUCGACGCCGUCUUCUCGUGCUUCCUUGGCCUCCGCUUCCGUGUACGUGGUUACUCGAGGCGAGUCAAACUCGAUGUCAGUUGGGAUGACCGCCUCGGCACCAUACACAAGGAAGAAAGGGGUGAAGCCGGUUGACUUGUUUGGUGUAGUGCGCAGACUCCAGAGGAUAGCCGGCAGCUCAUCGAGCCAACAGCCGGCUGAGCGCUCCAGAGGUACGACCAGUCGAGGCUUGAUACCGGAGAGGAUGAGGCCGUUGGCUCGCUCGACCUGGCCGUUUGACUGCGGGUGGGCGACGGAAGCUAAGUCCAGCCGGAUACCUUGGGCUGCGCAGAAACGUGCCAAGGCUCCUUUGGCAAAAUUCGUGCCAUUGUCGGUGAUGAUGCUGUGCGGCACGCCGUACCGAGUUGUUAUGUCUGCGAUGAAUGUCACAGCAGUCGGCCCAUUCAGCUUCUUGAUCGGCUUUGCCUCAAUCCACUUGGUGAAUUUGUCCACGGCGACUAGCAAAUGUGUCAUGCCGCCGCGCGCCGUCUUGAAUGGGCCCACCAUGUCCAGUCCCCAAACGGCGAAGGGCCAAGUGAGGGGAAUGGUCUUGAGUGCUGAAGCCGGCACGUGUUGCUUGGAGCUGAAGAGUUGGCAUCCCUUGCAAUGUUUGACUAAUUCUUUGGCGUCGUCCAAAGCAGUCGGCCAGAAGAAACCAUGGCGGAAGGCUUUGGCGACAAGUGAUCUUGAGUCCGCAUGGUGGCCGCAUUCUCCUUGGUGAAUGUCUAUGAGGAUUGCAAUGCCCUUCUCUUGCUCGACGCACCGUUGGAGGAUUCCAGUGACACUGCGCUUGAGUAGUUCUCUAUUGACGAUUGUGUACGCUCCGGCUCGACGCUGGACUUGUCUUGCUUCUGUUUCGUCGGCCGGUAGGUCUUGGUUUACUAGGAAGUUGAGGAUGGACUGAGCCCAUGACGGAGCCGCGACUUCUCCUACUGCCAAUGUGGCUACUGCUACCGGGGUGGGCGGGCUGGGCGGUGAAGUGCUGUUGUCGGUGCACUCGGCGAAUUUCCUCGUAACACCCGGCAUGUCCUUGGGGGACCAUGCGAAGAUGUCCCGAUUCUCACGGAGGAAAUCAGCGAGCUCACCUUCCUAUUUGCUAUUCAGGUUUGCCCCGAUGACGGCAAACCUCUCUGGAUGCUCGAAGUCAAGAGGUAUCUUCUUCGUCUCCUUGGCCGACUGGAAAGACCCUUGAGCAUCGUGCUCCUUGGGGUCGGGGUACACGGCCGACUGCUUGCCGGCUAUGGCCACGACUCGGUCCAGCAUCUUCUUCUCUUCGGCAAUCACAAGGGACUCGGCCAGCCGGCUGCUGGCCGCCGCGCACUCGGAGGACUUCUUGUAGUCACCGGCUACGGUGAUGACGCCUUUGGUGCUUGGUAUCUUCAUCUUGAGGUAUGCAUAGUGGGGAACUGCCAUGAAUUUGGCCAAGGCGGGUCGGCCAAGCAACGCAUGGUAAGGGCUUUCCAGGUCCACCACUUCAAACCAGAUCGCUUCCCGGCGGAAAUGCUCCUUGUCCCCAAAAAGUACAUCAAUCUUGAUCUUGCCAAUGGGGGCGCAGGACGGGACGGGUACGAUGCCAUGGAACACUGUCCGCGUAGGCACGAGCUGCUUCGUCUUGACAUUUAGUUUCUCCAGGGUGUCACGGUACAGGAUGUUGAUGCUGCUCCCGCCGUCUAUCAACACACGGGAGAAGCGGGCGGCGCGUCUGUCCGUUGCAAGGGUGGCUUCCAGGACCAAAGCAUAAGAGCCGGGAGACGGCAUCACCUCUGGAUGGUCGGCCCGGCUCCAGCUGAUGGGCUUUUCUGACCAAUGCAUGUGUCCAGCGGGGUUGGCUGCGACCACGCCAACUUCCUAGCGCUCUUGGCAUUUGCUGCGCCGGUCUUCGGGCUGGCUUGUAAAGACGAUGUAGGUGGCUUGCUCGUCAGGGAACUCGUCAUGCACGGCUCCGACUGCGGGCCAAGCGGCCGGAGGCGGCAGGGCCGGAGGCGGCGGGCCGGCAGGCGGAGGCGGCAAGAGACCCUCGCCCUUAGAGAUUCGGGUGAGCCAAUGGCACUUCCGGGUCGCGUGGUUGGACGGCUUCGCGCCGCUGUGGAACUUGCAAGGGGCGUCGAGAGUCUGCUCGUAGGAGAAGGCGGGCUGCCAAGCCGGCCUGCCGCCCUUGGGCUUCUUGGGCGCCGGUCGCUCUUUAGGCGGCGCGUCUUCGACUGUGGCCACCUGCCGACUGGCGGGAGGCGGCGCGGGGCCCUUGCGCUUGUGAUCAUUCGUGUGGGGGAGUCGGCCGGAAUCCCUAGCCGGCGUCUUGGGCGCCGGGUUGAGUACCUUUCCGGACGCGUCCACCCGAAGCUCGGUCUUCAUCGAAGAGUCGGCGGUGGCGUAUUUGUCCGCUAUGUCCAGAAGCUCGUCGAGGGUAGCCGGCUCGUCGCAGAGGAGCUUGUGCUUGAGGAGGGUGCCUUCUCGGCAUCCGGCUGUGAAGUAUUCUAUGGCUUGCACCUCGUGCACCCCUUCACAGGAGUUGCGGAGCUCGGCCCAAUGCGUGAGGUAAUCGCGAGUGGACUCGGCGGGGCCUUGUACGCACAAGGAGAGCUGUCUGGGUUUGGGAGCCCGCUUGUAGGUGCUGGUGAAGUUACGGAUGAAGGCUUCUGUGAAAUCUAGCCAGUUGUUGAUGCUACGCGGCUUGAGGCUAUUGAGCCAGGUCCGCGCCGUGCCUUGCAGCAUGAGGGGCACGUACUUCAUGGCAACGCGCCGGUUGCCGUUGGCUAUGCUAACCGCCAUGGAGUAGUCGAUCAACCAAUCUUCCGGCUUCACGGAGCCGUUGUACUUGGGCGUGUCUCUUGGGAGCGAGAACCCUUUGGGAAAGGGCUCGUCGCGGAUGCGGGGGCCGAAACAAGGCGGGCCGACAUCGUCUUCUUCUUCCAACGCCAGGGAUUGCGCCAGGCGGUCGAUCCGAUGGCGGGCGUCGUUCUCGCCGAUUCCUUCACGGCGGCCUAGCCGGCCGCUGAGAGUCGGGUGCGCCACUGGUGGCGGGGCGGGAUAUCUCUCUCCACGGGGUGGAGGCGGAGGCAGGUCGCCCCGCCAUUCCAUGGCUCGGGGAUGACCGUCCGCAUCUCGCUCGAUGGAGAUCCGGGUCCGGCUGCGGCUGGCAGCCGGCCCCUUCUCGCGUCGUGCACGGGUGCUGCUCAUAGUCGGCGUCCGGGACGUCGCGCCAUGCUCUCGGCGCGAGGGAGGGCUUUCCGCGCGGGCGUCGGCUUUGUGGCACUGCGCGGCUGCGUCGAUCAAUUGCUGGAUGCGCCGGGUCAUGUGGGGGAGGUCUUCGGCCUCCAAGCCGUCCAACUCGUCUACGGCCGCCUGGGCGGCACGCAAGUUCUUGAGCGGAGUGGCGUAGACCAGGCAGUCGACUCCCAGCGUGUCGGCUAUGACGGCGCUGCGUUGCUUGACAAGGCCGGCCCGACUUGGCCCGCCCGAGGCCGGCGUGCCGAAGGCGGCGCGGUCAGCUUCGCGCUGAUAGGCCUCAGUGAAGCGUCUUACGGAAGCCAGCCUCCGGCCCUCUGCGAGGAGGGCGAGGCGGCGCGCCUCCAGCGCUUCGUCGUCGGCAUUAGCCGAGAGGGGAGCGAACAAGUCGUGGGCCGCCGCGUGCGAGGCGUUGCGGGCACUUUCGUCGGCCGGGCCGCCGUGGCUGACAACCAUCACUUCGGUGGUGACAGCAUCGCAGCCGUCGGCUCGAGGAAGCGGGUCGUUGUAGAUCGUGACGUUGGUGGGGAAGGUGUCGUAGGAGGCCGUGUCGGAGUCGACAGGCAUCGGGUCAGUGGAGCCAACCGACUCCAGGUCCGCAGCGGGCUCGCUGGAGACAUGGAGCUGGCCGAGAAGGUUGGCGAGGUGGUCGGUGCCCGCAUCGGAGGUGAGCUCGUCGGAGAUGAGAGUUUCGUCGAAGAGAUCGGCGAGGCUGCUCGCCGCGCAGAUGCUGGUGACGCCUUGCAGCGCGUCGUGGCAAGCGCCAUCGGGCGUGCCGGGCUGGCUACGCUUGCUGGGGAGGAAGAGGGUUCCCGUCCAGAACAGCUCUCCGGACGAUGGUGCACCUGGCCCCACGGUGGGCGCCAAAUGUCGGGUGGUAGGUGCGACAUAUGCCAACGGGUGGCUUAUCAUUGUGGGAGCCAGUAAGACAUCGCCGGUGCCUGGAAGCGGGAUAAGGCGAAGACAUGCACGCCGGCGGAUCUUACCCAGCUUCGGGGCUCUCCGUGGAGAUAACACCCCUACUGCUGCUCUGCGGGGUCUCCGCAUGCUCACUAGAUGAAUCAAGUAACUACACAACGCUCCUUGAGCUGUUUGGGGGGAGGAUGAAGAAGGGCACGGCUAGCCUGCUUCUCUCCCUGUGUGGUGUCUAGAACUAUCGGGGGGUCGAACCCUUUGCAUGGGUGCCUCGGGGGGUUUAUAUAGGCCUACCCCCCGGGGGUACAAUGGUAAUCCGACUGGGCGCGGGGCCCAGCCGUCUGUGACUGCGCUCGCCGGCUUCUGCGCCGGCUGCUGGGGCCCGCCAACUGGUGGGUCCCGCCGGCUGCCGGCACCUUGGUCGAUAGGCAGGUCCCACUGUCCAGGGCCUGGUCGGCGGCUGGUUACUGUGGCUUCAUCUUGUUGACGUGAGCUUCAUCGUGGUAAACGUGGCUAUAGUACCGUCGCCUGCCAGGCGAUCGCUGUAGCCUUACCGCGUCUUGUCUCCUUAAUGGGGCGUCCUCUUUGAGGAAAGCGGCAAGCCGGCUGCGGGGAGCCGGCUCUGUCUUGGGCCGACCGGUGGGAGGUGUGGCCGCCUUCGGGCGUCUCUCUGCUCAAAGGGGCCCACCGCCUGUGGGCCGCGCUAGCGGCCCGUCAUGGGUGAUGCGAGGGUCAGCAUGGCAAUAGUGCCGCGCCGAACGGGUCAUGCCUACCCCGUACGAUGCACUGCGCCAGGCGUGCUCUAGGAUUCGGGGGCGGCAGGCUUUACUGUAGCCACGCCCCGUCGCACCGCCGUUAGGUGGGUGCAAACUUUCGUGGGUACGGCCUUGACCACUUUAAGGGGAGCUGGCUUCUUGGAGUCGGCCUUCUCAUGGCCGGCUUCUUGGAGUCGGCCUUCUCAUGAGGGCUAAAUUCGGACCGCCUUCCGAAAGCCGGCCUGGGUGGCAGCCAGCAAGGGGAAGGCGGCCCCUAUGUCUUGAAUUCUUGAGAGCCGGGCGGGCUCGUAACUUUUUUCAGAAGGGCCAGGGGGAGCCGGCUAGGCUACCCAUGGCUAUUUACUCCGACAGUUGUGUUGCUUUGCAUGAUGCGGCUCCUGUCUAUUUCCAUUUUAUGGAGUGUGUCCUCGUAAAUAGGGUUUAGUCCGCUGCCGCCGUCCAUGAGGACCUUGGUAAGUCGAAACCCGUCCACGAUGGGACUGAGGACUAAUGCAGCUGGCGCUCGCACUGUUCUGUACUUUGGUUUGUCGCCGGCGUUGAAUGUUAUAGUUGUGUCGUUCCAGGGGUUUAUCGUAGCAAUUUGGAAGACUUUGGCGAGCUCGCGGAGCGCCCUUUUGUGCUUGUUGUUUGAAGCGAACGUCUCAAAGACUGUCAAUACUCUUGAGUUGUCGUCCACUGGGGGGAUGUUGUUCUGAGUCGUCCUUGAUAAGGAUAUCCUCUUCGCUUUUGGCUACCUGUCAUAGUAUCCAACAUGCUCUAAGGCUGUGGGUUGCCAUGGUAUCUAGUGUUGUAUGUAUUUUGCAUGGGCCAUCGAGCCGCCCGGUCAGAAUGGUGUUGUGCCGCAUAGCGGUUUUGUGUUUCUUGACUGUUGGACUGGGCAUGCCGCGAGGGUGCGCCCUUUUCGCCUGUAAGGGGAGUUGAGUUAGGACUGGCAGUUCCCAGCGAGCUGCCUGAGUUUUCCAGGUGCUCUCCAUCGCACUGUAUUUUUGUAUGAUGGUUGCUAAAUCAGUGAAUUUCAGUAUGCGGCGGUGAUUGAUGGUGUUGAGGAUUCCUUCAUCCGCGCAAUUGUUGCAGAACACUGAAAUUGCGUCUUCGUCACGACAGUAUUUUACCUUGUCCUUGACAAGGAGGAAUCUGGCACAAAAGUGGUGGACUGUUUCCUGAGACUGCUGUUUUAUGCUUACGAGAGUGUCUAAAUUCGGGUGGGUGGGUGGAAUUAAAUCCGAACCCCGACCCGACCGAUUAUCCGGAGUCUGAUGAUCUUCCGGGCUUGACAGUCUGGGUUCCGGAAUACCUUCUGAUUUUCAGGACCGUCGUCCGUUGCUAUUUUUAGGAGGCUGGUCGCAUCUUUUAGUGGGUGGGUAUCCGGCCUUUCCUGGUCGGCAAUCCGGACAUAGUCCGCCUUCGGCAUAGGAGAAAACUCAUCGUCCUGCUCCACGACUACUGCAAUCUGGUGGGUGACUGGUAGGGUCUUGGUUUCUCCUUGGUCGGUUUUAAGCCCGAUCUGGUCGUAGUAUGUGGCUAUUCCCAAAGCGGCGAUGCGAUCUAGGAGUUUGUUCAAAGACAAAAGCUCUGCCAGAUCCAUCUGCUUGGAGUGCUCGGAGUUGAUGCGAAGGGGGUUUUCGAUGUCCCGAGAGGUCAUCGUCGGCUCAACGGCCAAACGGGCGAUCAUAGUAAAGCCGCCUAACCGGAGGGUUUGGCCCGGGGCCAGUGCUCCUCCAGGGGUGAUGUUGUCUUUAAGGACAAGGCGAGCCAUCGAGCCUUUUGUCGACGGCAUAGUGGAACUCUCAAUGAAAGCACCAAUGUCGGUGUCAAAACCAGCAGAUCUCGGGUAGGGGGUCCUGAACUGUGCGUCUAGGAUCGAUGGUAACAGGAGACAGGAGACACAAUGUUUACCCAGGUUUGGGCCCUCUCUAUGGAGGUAAUACCCUACGUCCUGCUUGAUUGAUAUUGAUGAAUAUGGGUGUUACAAGAGUUGAUCUACCACGAAAUCGUGCUGGCUAAACCCUAGAAGCCUAGCCUAUAUGACUAUGGUAAUGAAUGGUGUCCUUUCUGGACUAUCCCCUCCGGUUUAUAUAGACACCGGGGGGAUCUAGGGUUUACAUAGAGUCGGUUACAUAAGAAGGAAUCUUCAUAGUCGGUCGCCAAGCUUGCCUUCCACGCCAAGGAGAGUCCAAUCCGGACUCAGGUAUAGUCUUCGGCCUUCAUGUCUUCACAGCCCAUCAGUCCGGCCCACUAGAUAACAGGCCGGACGCUCGAGGACCCCUUAGUCCAGGACUCCCUCAACACCCCAACACUAGGAUUAUGGUAUCCAAAGGGCUUAGAGUUUGAUCUAGUUGGAUUCUCAGAUGUUGUUUAUGCUGGUGACAAGGUUGAUCGCAAGUCCACAUCAGGCACAUGUCACUUUCUUGGACGAUCUCUUGUUUGUUGGUCUUCAAAGAAGCAGAAUUGUGUAUCUCUCUCCACUUCUGAAUCUAAAUACAUUGUUGCUGGAUCUUGCUGGCUCCCAGCUUCUAUGGAUGAAGCAAACUCUCAAGGACUAUGGCAUCCAUCAGAAGCAAGUGCCACUUUACUGCGACCAUGAAAGCGCCAUCAAGAUUGCCAACAACCCAGUCCAGCACUCGAAGACAAAGCACAUUCAGAUCCGUCAUCACUUUCUCGGAGAUCAUGUCAUGAAGGAAGAUAUUGAUAUCAUUCACGUCAACACUAAAGAGAACUUGGCAGAUAUCUUCACAAAGCCCUUGGAUGAGAAAAGGUUUUGCAAGUUGCGGUGUGAGCUAAAUAUCUUAGAAUCCUCAAAUGUCCUGUGAUUGGACACACAUCCUAACGCUUAUGCAUAUUGAUGACUUGGAUGUGCGACACACGAAGUAACAUAUAUCUUCAAUCAAUGAAGACAUACACUCUAAGUGUCAAUACAUUAACGCGGAAUUUCACUUCGGAGCGCCAUGAUAAUUGUGCGCCGUGUCUGGGUCUAAUACUUCCUAUAUGGUGGGUAACGCCACCACCACAAUAUCUUCGAAGGAUUUCAUGUGGCAUCAUAAUUGCAUAGUCUUUGCAUUUGAUUUGUCUUCAACAUUAUUUUAACUUCAAGGUUUAUCUUCACAACAUUAUUUUAACUUUAAGGUUUAUCUUCGCAUUUGAUUUGUCUUCAACAUUAUUCGUGUUCUGCUGUCUACGGCAUUCACUUAUAGCUAUGUCUUCAUGCUUGAAUCUUUCUUUAUCUAAGUGAAUGUGAUCGGACCCUAACCCCAUAUGUGCUUCUAUCUCAAAUUUCAUCUAUCCAAAUCGUAUGCAUUCUAUUGAUACCCAUCGAUUGUCUUCUCUGAAUCCUUGUCAGCAGAAAACAAAGUGACAAAAGUUUAAAACUAUUUUAAUGCCAUAUCAUGUUUGCCUGAAUAAUGGAGAAACCGGAACGACCACCGACAAUCCAGGCAUGCGUGGGAACAUAGAUCAACUCCCAAUGAGUUGCCUGCAAGCCAUGUGUCCUUCAGAUGUGAACCGCCAGGGGCACCUGUGUAAUUAUGUUGUGGUGUCGCUUUCCUUAUAAAUACACAACUCACUGUGGUCAUUAUCUCUUCUUCCACCUCGUCACCUCACACAAACCCUAGAGCCUCCGCUAGCUCACGUCGACGCUGGAGCCGAAGUGCUUAGCUGCCGCGACUUCUUCGAUGUCGUCCUCACGCCGGCAGCGGACCUCGUCUUCUCCGCUGCUGUCGUAGGUGUCUUCCGCCGCCAAGUUAGGGCAUGGAAGAUUGAACUGCUCGGCCUCUCUAUCUUCGACCUCAUCUAGCAGUUCGUAAGAGGUAAAUAAAACCUACUUUUUACUGCCUUUUUGAUCCGUCAAAUCCAUCCACUUCAACCGAAAGUGGUUUCUCGACUUCCAAAUCUGGAUUUGCCCUUGUCUGCAUCUCAUAUCAUGCCAAGUAUAUUCACUUAUGCUUCAUAAAUAGUAAGAUUCCUCACUUGUACUUAUUCAUGGAUUCGUACAAAUUUGGAACCAACUCUCUUCAAAUCAGUGAAUGUCUUCACGCUAUGAGGUCAAUGUCUUCAAACUGAUUUAUCUUCAAAAUCUUCUAAGAAUGCAUAUGACUGUUCCAAAAAUCACGCUCCCGAAGGUUUCAUUCCGUUUUGACUCCGUUUGAUAUUCCUUUUCUGCGAAACACUGAAAUAGGCAAUAAAUAGCAAUUUGGGCUGGGCCUCCGGUUAAUAGGUUAGUCCCAAAAAUAAUAUAAAAGUGUAAAAUAAAGCCCGUUAUCAUCCAAAACAGAUAAUAUAAUAGCAUGGAACAAUCAAAAAUUAUAGAUACGUUGGAGACGUAUCAAUGACCUCUUCCCCUUCCCUCGCACCUUAAUGUUGUCACAGGUACAUGUCCGUGAGAGAAUCCCUUAGUUCUCAUAGUCUGCAUUCAUUUGCAGAGUUCUUGCAGUGUCACAUCAACUCUCCUGAAGCCAGUUCCUGUCUGACCAGCAAAAGUAAGCCACUCACAGUUUUGAAGCCUUUUAGUUUGAAUCUCAUGGCAAAUAAAAAAUCAGUCAGGAAGGGCGGCAGGCAGCGCCGUGGGGAUACAACUAAGGAUUUACCUCAUGAUCUGUUUGAAAUGUACAAGACGGACCCAGAGGAAACCUACGGCGAGCGCAAGACCCGAAACCAAUGGAUUCGAAGAUAUUGGACUAAGGAAUGGUACAAAUACAGAUUUGUGACUACUGAAUAUGCUAAAAAGAACGCCAUCAAGGGCCCCUGGGGAGAUAUUCUAUACAGAAAUCUGUAUCCCAAGUCCAAGCCUGAAGCCAUUUCUCAAGACUUCUACCCUUGCAUGUUCCGAGGGCCACAGCCAGAUAAUGCUGACCCAUCAUCACUGUUAUGGUGUCGCAAUGACAAUCUCUACAAGCGUCAUUAUCAAUUUGCCAAGGAGUCUGUUGUCAAGAACAAGAAGGACCUGGGACUCGACUUCAACCCUGGUCCAUCUGCUCCAAGGGCUGAUGGCACCCGUGAUGCCAAUCCAAAUGUCAUCGGCCCUUCUACAACCUCGAUGGCCUUCUCACUCACAUAGUUGUACAGGGGGCCACCGUGGAGCACUCAGCUGGUGACACAGAUUCUGACGAAGUGCCAGCUCCACCAAAGCCGCAGAAGAAGAAGACAAAGGCUACAAAGCCCUCUGUCCCACCAAAAGCUUUGCGUGUGAAGCCAUUGGCAACUACACCUCCUGAACCCAGUGUACAAUAUGAAGAUCUUUCUUUUGUCUCAAAGAAGACGGAGAAGCCCAAGAAGAAACCCAUGAAGAUUUCUAGGCAUGAACUGACUCCAGCUGUCAUUCUUGGGAAUGAGGAAAACACCAUUGAUCUGUCAAGUGACGAAGACUUUGGUGAUGAAGCCCUUGAGAUGCUGAUCAAGAGCAAGCAAGAGGCGGAGAUCUUCAAUGAUCUGCCCCUCUUUGAUGUGUAUAUACUAAAAAAUUUCAUUGAUGAGUGGUUUGACAACCCGAGCGUCAGCAUUGAUGAUCUUCAGCUUCAUGUGGACAUCAGCGUCACCUUCCAUGGAGCCAUUGCUAAUGAAGUGGCCCUGGCUUAGAAAAACGUCGAGUUGAAAAACAAGAUUGAUUAUGAGAAGGCAUAAUUCAAGAAUAACAUGGCAAAGCUCAGCGUGGCUGAUGUUCAAAGCUUUAAGAAGAUGUUGCAUGAGUUCAAGGAACAGUUUCACAGGAAGCAUGAAGAAUCCAAAGGCUCACGAGAGCGGAUGAAAUACUUUGCAGAGAAAUGUGUUCAAGCACACAAUGAGGCUGAGAAGCGCAAGGCUCUUGGGCGUCCUAGCAUUGACCCCAAGAUGGCUGCCAAACAAAAGAAGAAGCUUGCUGUGGUCUGAACUGAAGCACCAAGGCAGGAAGAACCUCGUAUUGUCUUCCCUUCCAGCAUGACAGGCUCAAAGCCUAAGGUCCCCUCAGCAGCUUCAGAACUGAAGAAGACAAGGCAGCUGAAGCCGAAGCCCAGAAGCACAAGCACAAGAAUGCUUCUGAUGAUGCACCAUCAAAGAAGAAAUUGAAAAAGUCUUCAAAGAAAGAGCGUGCUGCGGCCUCUAAGCCCCUUGUGGUUGAGCCCAUUUCUGUUGCCCGUCCGGCCUCCACCAACCAAGCGCGUUAACUUGUGAUCCACGAGCCUGCUUUCACAGAGGCUCCUGCAGAUGAAGAAGUUCUAGUUGUUGACCCCAUCAUAGCUGAAGACAUUGGUUGUGAAGACAAUGUUGAAGAUGAUGAAGUCCUUCCUCAACUCGAGCAUCAACUGGUAUCAUCGCCUGUUCUUACAAACAGCAAACUCAUCAGCAUUGGUCGUCCUUUGAUGCCAAUUACUCAGGAUGAUUCGUGGGCAGAUCACCCUCAAGAAGACACCCCUAUUCAUGAAGACACAACCAGAACUCCAACACAUCAAGUCACCACUCCGGUGCUUGAAGAUGAUAGCUACAUGGUACAAACCACUCCAUCUCCAUAGGCGUCGCCCGCUUUCCGCAGACUUCGCAAAGGCCCCAGGCCACAGGUCACCAUGUAGAGCAUUCCAGAAGGGGAAGUGCAACAUAGCUCAGCAGCACGUCAAGUGUUUCCUGAAGCCACCCCAACUGUGAAUGUCUCCGAGUCUGAAGCAAAAGUUGAUGAAGACAUUCUAGCUGCAUCAGCUGAUGAAAAUCAAGAAACAAGAGAAGAAGAAGAAGAAGAAGAAAGAGUUGCUACACCCCCUCCUACUGAACCAGUCAUUCUCAGGGAUAAUGAGUCUGUGCCCGACCCUCCUGUCAUUGAACAGAUGGAGGUUGAAACUACCGAGGCGGCCACAAACACUGAUGUUGAAGCCAAUGACAUUGUCAUGGCUGAAGACCAUGUGGCGCCUGAAGCUAAUAUGGCGUCUGAAGCCAAUGUGGAAUCUAAAGCUCAUGUGAUGCCUGAAGCUCAAGUACAUCCUGAAACCACUGUGCAUGCUGAAGCCACUGUUCCAUCUCCAAGGCCUCACACAAUUGAAUAGGCCUUUGAUCAUGGACAACUGGUCACUGUGAAAUGGCCCGUCAUGGUGCCUCACACUGCUCCCAGACCUCAAUAUGACUAUCAUGUGGAGCAGAGGCCCCAGGUUUAGAAGCCAAAGCCCAGGCUGCCAAGGCUUCUAGGUAUUGCAACCUCCCCAUGAUCAUUUGGCGUGAACAGCUUCAGGGCACACAAUACUUUCUUUGACAGUGCCAAGAAUCCAUACUCGAAGCCAAAGAUCUCUUCUUAUCGCUUCUAGAGCUAUCAGCAGCGCAGCUACUACUCAUGCAUCCUAUACAAUCAAGAGUGAAUCUUUCAACACUUGCAUCUUGAUUGUGAAGCCAUUGAUGGGCUGCCCUGUUUGGAAGAAGCCCUUGAUUGCUUCAGGGAGGUUGGUCUUCUACAGUUCGUCACUGACAAGGAGCACUGGAAUGAAGAGCUCUUGCUGCAGUUCUAUGCCACUCUUCACAUUCGUGGCUACAACAGGGAUCCGAAGACAUGGAUCCUUGAGUGGAUGUCAGGCGAUGUGCAUCAUGAAGCCAAAGCUCAAGACAUUAUUGAGCUUACUUCCCUGGCCACUCCAGUUGACUUGUAUGAGCCUUGUUUUCAGCUUCACAAUAAUGAACUGCAGAGUAUCUUUAAGCGGCAUGAACCAAAUAUGAGUCAGAUGCUCAUCAUGAUGAAGCCAUUGCCUCAAGAUGUUGAAUAUCCCAAGGAAUUCUUCGUCAAGGACCUCAAUUACUUGCCCCGCACAGUCUAUCACAUUCUGAGGUGUACUCUAUGGCUGAUCAAGGGAUACACUGCUGAAGCCAAACUUGAAGGAGCCAUGAAGACUUUGGUGUUUUACAUCAUCAAUGGCAUCAGGUUCAACUCCCAGGAUUUCUUCAUCAAACAACUUGCUGCAUCUGGGAUUGAUCUAUUUGGCCUGAAGUUUUAUGCUCCAUGGGUGAUGCGCCUGAUCAAGCUCCACUCCUCUAUUGACUAUCAGCCCUCGGCACGCAACCAUCUUGUAUUUCUGCCCGAGGUUGAUCUGUCUGUUGAAGCCAUCUACCCAAAGCAUGCCAAGGAGCCGCUAUAUCUUCACAAUAUUGAUCAUCAAUGCUUCAUGCAGCCCAUAGAAGGGAUUCAUGUUCCAAAUGCUGCUACCCCUGCUUAUCCUCUGGCUAGCAAUAUGCGUGUGCCCCAUCGUGCAAACACCGAAGCCACUGAUAGUACGAUUGCCUAAAGGCCUCAGAAGCGUUCUCGUGUUCUCAAUGACGAAGAGCUUCUUGUUUCCUUACAUCAGAAGAAAGAUAAGCAUCAUGACUAGCUUAAGCGUCAGAUGCAGAGUAUCUUGGUGGACAUCAAUCACAUCAGAAACUUGGCCAUUGUCGGUGUCAAAACCGACGGAUCUCGGGUAGUGGGUCCCGAACUAUGCGUCUAGGCCAGAUGGUAACAGGAGGCAGGGGACAUGAUGUUUUACCCAGGUUCGGGCCCUCUUGAUGGAGGUAAAACCCUACGUCCUGCUUGAUUAAUAUUGAUGAUAUGGGUAGUACAAGAGUAGAUCUACCACGAGAUCAAGGAGGCUAAACCCUAGAAGCUAGCCUAUGGUAUGAUUGUUGUAUAUGGAGUUGUAUGUUGUCUCCUAUAUCGACUAGCCUGACCCUGGUUUAUAUAAUGCACCAGAGGCCUAGGUUAACAGGAGUCCUAGCUGAAUACGCCGGUGGGGAGAAGUCCUUGUCUUGAUCGCCAAGUCUUUGUGGAAUCUUCCUUUUAUGCGGCAACUGUCCGAACUGGCCCAUGAGUAUACGGCCAUGGGGGGCCUCGGCCCAAUCUAAUAGAUCGGGAGACGACAUGGUGAGUACCCCCUAGUCCAGGACACCGUCAGUAGCCCCCUGAAGCGGUCUUCAAGUUAGGGACGCUCCUCGAUUCUUCCGAACUGUUCUUCAUCUUUGGUCGUCGGUCUUGAAAACUGGUUCAACAAAUCUUCUCAUCUUCGAUCUUGAGGAUCGCCGAAAUGCAUUCGACGAGUUUAUACGCCGGGUAUCCGAGGAGCCCCUUUAAGUUUUCGGCCUUUAUCAAUGCCUUAUUAUUUUUAUGCCACACCUCGGGUUUGAAGUUGUUCCCGGGAGGCAGUGUCCUCUUGCGUCCGAGCUCCAACGCCAGACUGCAUUCAAGGUAUCUUUUGCAGCUGAGCACCAACGCCGGACCGCUUCCCAGCUCUAACGUCGGAAUAUAUCCGAGCUCCAACGCCGGACUAUGUAUCCGAGCUCCAACGCCGGACUAUAUCCGAGCUCCAACGCCGGACAGUGUCCCAGCUCCAACGCCGGACUAUAUCCGAGGUGUCAUAUCACCUUGGUUCAAAAAAGUUGAAGGAGUCUAGCCGAGCUUAAUGCCGGAAAUGCCCUCUAUGGAGCCAGCCACUAGCGCCCAAGCUUUAUGCCGGACUGCUUCCGAGGUGGUGCACCACCCCGACUGUGGGCCGAUUUUUUAUCAAUAUUUUUUAUUAUUGCAAUUUAUUCUCUGCCGGGAUAUAUGGCUAGUAGCCCUCAAGGUGUGUAUCUGUCUAAAACCCGAGAUGCACCUGAAGGAUGACAUAAGACCGCUGAUCCCAUUAGCCGCUGAGACUCAGGUUGAUUUGCAAAAUCGGCCUGAGGAUCAAGUCCUAGCUCGGCAGAAUACUUCGGGACACAAAAAGCGGCGUGCUUAGUCCUCGAGACUCAGGUUGGGUGCGGCCGACCAACCUGAGGAUCAAAAUCUCCUCGGCAACUGUAUUGCACUUAAAAUUUUCUACAUUGAACAGGCAAUGCAGUAGCCCCCGAGACACUGGUUGGGUGGCAACACCAGAUCAGGGGAUCGAUGUGCCCCUUUAAUAUUUGUAAAUAAUAAGGCCGAAGCCCAGUAGCCCCCGAGCCUUAAUGCGUGCACGGGUGGCCGAAUUAAGGAUCAAUAUCCAUAGUAAAAUCACAAAUUAUGUGUAAUGACUCUAUGUAUCCAAGUACUUUACAUCAUUAAUGCUUGGAUCCGCAUUGUACAUAACUUUGUUGACCGACCAUCGGCUUCCACCUCCUCGGCUAGUAGCCGAGGAGUGUUUGUCCUACUUUAUAAAGCCUUUAUGAGGGCAAAGAUUUACGACAAAUAAGGCAAUCUGGCCAUAUGGUUUUAUGAACAAAGGUACGCAGAGAGUUAUAUCACUGUUUAACAAAAGAAAUGUCUUCCAAAGAAAAUAGUCCCGCUAUCGGUUCCUUUCUUUGGGUUGUCAUGCUAAGCAUGAUCAUUAAACCUCAGCUCUAAUGUAAGAGCAAAAUAUUGAGGAUUUAGUUUGGGAGGCCAGUUAAUAUCCCCCGGUAGUGUUUGGCGACAGUCGGGGUCAAGGCGUAAACACUUCGGCCAAUGUUAUGAACGACCCAUCAUUUAACAUAGUCAUCGGAUCGCUGACCAGUUUACGCUUAUUAUGAAAGUCAGUUUUCGGCUUUCUCCACUGAGGUGCUUAACCAUGUGAGCUGGAAGCACAAUCGCAGUGGUUCUCCCUUUGCACGCCUAGCCGAACAAAACGGAACGUAGGAAGCAAGUGCAGGAGCCGGGCAACCCAACUAUUGACCGAAGACACAAUUCGAAACCGAUGCAUAUAUAGCAAUAUUUGAGAAUGUUUUUGCCAAAUCCCUAAAGGUGUCCGGCGUUGCACUGCGAGACUAAUGCUGGAGAAGCACAAAUAGUUCUAAAAGUGCCAAAAAAGCUUGGAAAACCAAGAAACGUCAGUAAAAACAUGACGUCCGAACAAUAUCAAGUGUUCGGUGCCAAUCCGAAAGUUGGUCUGAGAAAAAAGAAGUGCUUCUGUCGUGCUUUAACAUGAUACAUCCUAUCUCAAGACUUCGAGCGGGUCAGCCUACGGCUUCAGCCUCCUAUCCCGAGGGCGGAGUACUUCUCAUCAGGCCAGUUUAGCAAACUAAACUCUAGCGGCUUUGAGAGAGAAAUUAGGCUCCCCGGCUAGUGACCGCACACUCGUGUCGAAAAAGGAGUGAUAAAUAAUAAUAAAACUUUGCAACGACUAAGAAGAAGAACACUUAUUAUAAAACGGCUCAAAUAAACUUAAGAGCCCCCAAGUGACUUGGGUAGAAGAAUGAUUGCAUGUACCGAAGUACUUAUAUCAUAUCUAUGUUCAACCGAACUUUAAACGCGUCUUAACUGACCGUCUGCUUCUCCCUCUUCGGUCAAGGACCGAAAAGUGUUAUGUACUCCAUCGGUCGAGAAUAUCGACGGUGUUUCCAAUAACCAGGCAAUCAGGCCAUAAGGCUGUAACAAACAAAGCGCGCUCAGGGAACUUAUGCUAUAUUACCAUGAAGUGUAAGAAGCAUCUUCGAACAAAAUAGUACCCCCACCGAUACCUUUCUUCGGUGCUCAUUGUUAUUAUGAGACUUGUGUAAUAGAUUUUUUGUACUCAUGAGUUCCGUUGUGUGCUGACCAUCAUUGAAAACUAUAAGAGCGCUAGCUUUCGGCUUCACCCAGUUUGAGGUCCGGCUCGGUUGACCCGAUCGUGACAAUCGCAGAGGUGCUCCCUUUACUCCCUAGCCGAACAAUCGGGAACGUAUGGGUAAACACAGGAGCGAGGCAACCCAGCUUGCAAAUUGCUUAAGUCAAUAUGGUGCAUAUUGUGGCAUAAUACACGAACAAGGAACGAAGCCGUACAAGUAUAAUCAUAUGCAAGAGGAAAAGCUUCAUAAAUGAAGCCCCCAAGUGAAUUGGGUCCUUGAAUUUGUGUGUCACAAACAAAGUUUGCACAAGGAAAUUUUUUACAAGCAAAUUUUUUCCAAAAAAGUAUAAUGCUUGGUCGAACCGAACACAAGUUAGAAAUUAAAGCUUUGAGCAUGAAAGCGACUUAGCUGGUUAAUGUGUUCGGUAUUGAUGACGCGGUCCGAGCUUGAUGCGGGGCAAGGUUCCAUCCCCCAAGCUGGUCCUAAGGUGGCGGAGCGGAGAGCUCGACACGCCGAAGUGGUGACAUAGCAUGGUCAAUGCAGACCGGCAGAGUGACGCUGAAGUCCCCGGAUCAUUUUCCUGUGCACAAAAAAUAGUGCAAACCAGAGAUAAUAGUAAUAAUGAUAAUUAAAAAAAUGUGUUGCAUAAUAAAUAAUUUAUGCAAAGUGAGGAAUAGAAGAAAUAUGGCCUGGCGCCGAAGUCAAUGUCGAUGCAGGGCGUCGGCGUGAUGUAGUAAAGGCGUGGCAAAGCCUGAAUUCACAGGUCGGUCCGAGCUUCAGAUGCGGCGUUCGCCGGACUAUGUACGGAAACUGAUCGAACCACCACGCGACCGUCAUUAAUGCAGUCACCAUUUGAUAGACCUGUGUACAUAUCAUGGACAAACCAGAGUAAUAAUUCUUGGGAAAAAUGAACCCAAACAAGCAAAAAAUACUGGGAGUAAUAGCACCUGGUUUAUUUGUUGUAGCAAUCCGAAUGAAGGUGAUUCCCAAAAUUGGGACUCGCUCCGCACACCCAUUGCCUGAUGGGCGAUAAAACGACGGCAUGGCAAUGCUGGUAAAGGUUGACUCGCCGAGGCAAAGCCCUCGGCCCAGCUAACGUGACGGAGCUGGUCGGCUAGUGACGCCGAAGUGUCUGGAGUAGGUUGAUGAGUCGAAGUAGGUCGGCGUGAUGGACACCAGCUUGAAGAAGCAAUAGUGCGGCCCUGUCGAUGCAGGUCGUGACGUGGUCGAUGCCGGCUUGAUGAAGCGACCGUGUGGUGAUGUCGGUAUGACCGCUCCGUGUAAUCCGUGGGGUGAUGAUGUUGAUGAUGAUUUAUCCUUCGCAAUGUCGGACUCUUGUUCGGCUUGCCGAGAUGAUGAUCCAAAGAAGUUGAGCUCGGCUAAAGUGACGACGUGUCUAGCGCAGGUUGGCGGCCGUGGAGUAAUAUUGCUGAACUGGUUUGACACCAGCAUGAUGUUGAAGAUCAUGUUCAAAAGAUCUUAAAGUUAGUGGGGUGUGUUCGGGAACAAAACACAAUACCCCAUACAAAACUUCCUUCAAAAAGGAUGUCCGAAAUCCCGUUCAUAAAAAAGAUGAACUCGGGUCGGAUUCGUUUUCACGCAGAAAAUAGAUCCGAAAAGUGAUGCACUAAUCGGAAGGUUCCCGGAGUUUGGACGGUCGGAUCGAGCUGAAAUUUUGAGAGGUGGUAGAUAUAGGAAUUCCGCAGCCAAUCAACAGUUGGAUCUUCCAAAGGACGUCCGAGCUAGAAGCUGGACACCACGCCCUAAACUCAUCCAAAUUCCCAUCCAAAUUUGACAGGGCUCCGGUAUAUCGUGGAUUGCCAGAGAUUCCUCCAUCGGAACUCGACGAAAUUUUCCAGGAUUGUUAUAGACCCAAUUCCGCACAAUUUCACCAAAGCGAUCGUCAAAGCGAUACUCAAGGAGGUGGUGGCGGCAGAUACGAGUUCGCUGUCCAAAAAAACAGCACGGUCGCUUGAGGGCAAUGUUGACGUUGAGCCCCCAAGCUCCAUAGAUAAUUCCUCCGUGAUCUUGAUAGAGAUCGGAGUUGAUGUUUGACGAAGGCCCUCGUCCGAACAUGGUGAUCCGAACAUGGGGCGCAAUUCUUUGUUGAACCAAGGUGACCAUUCGAACUGGUGACAAAGACGCCGAAGUCACAGUUGAUCUGCAGGCGAGCCAUCGAUCCUUUUGUCGAUCACACAGCGGAACUCUCAAUGAAAGCACCAAUGUCGGUGUCAAAACCGGCGGAUCUCGGGUAGUGAGUCCCGAACUAUGCGUCUAGGCCGGAUGGUAACAGGAGGCAGGGAACACGAUGUUUUACCCAGGUUCGGGCCCUCUUGAUGGAGGUAAAACCCUACGUCCUGCUUGAUUAAUAUUGAUGAUAUGGGUAGUACAAGAGUAGAUCUACCACGAGAUCAAGGAGGCUAAACCCUAGAAGCUAGCCUAUGGUAUGAUUGUUGUAUAUGGAGUUGUAUGUUGUCUCCUCUAUCGACUAGCCUGGCCCUGGUUUAUAUAAUGCACCAGAGGCCUAGGUUAACAGGAGUCCUAGCUGAAUACGCCGGUGGGGAGAAGUCCUUGUCUUGAUCGCCAAGUCUUUGUGGAAUCUUCCUUGUAUGCGGCAACUGUCCGAACUGGCCCAUGAGCAUACGGCCAUGGGGGGCCUCGGCCCAAUCUAAUAGAUCGGGAGACGACGUGGUGAGUACCCCCUAGUUCAGGACACCGUCAGCCACCAAGAACUCAUUUGUUGCCCAUGAAGCCUGUCGACGGUCUUGGAAGAGUCUCACACUCCUAUGCCCUGAAGAAGAUCUUCGCGAAGAUGGCUUCGUAGAGGGCUUCAAAUUUGAUUCCAGGACCCCACAAAAUGCAAGCUGGUGCCGAACUCCCUCCAUAGAAGACUCUGAGUAUUCAUCUUCGGCUGCAACUGUUGUUGCGAGAGUCGUCGAUGAAGAAGACGAUGCCACUUCACCAACCAUGGCUUCACUACAUCUCGACACUGCACCAGGACCUUCUGCACCACCGAACUCCAACGUCGACCCUGCACCUACAUCUACUCCUGAUGGUGACGAAUAGAUACUCUAUGUCUUCAAACCUUUUUGGUCAUUACUGACAAAAGGGGGAGAAGCAUAUGAGUUGAUAGUCUUCAAGCGGAUCCUUAUGGGUGGUUGCUCUAUUUUUGCCAAGUGUUUACAACUCUCGUCAUUUGAUACAUUUGGUUCUUUGGGUUGUAACACUUAAACUCGAUGGUCGCCUGCUACUUUUUCUGCUACUCUGUGAUGCGAUGAUAAAUUCUACAUGAAGUCAUUCCGCAGAUGCCCAUUUUUCAUUAUGCAUGUCAUUAUCUUUGUUAUAUCUUUAUAUGCAUGACGAAUUGUCUUCAUAAGUUGAAGAGGAUCUCCAGAAAGUAAAACCUGCCAUGUGCAUUUGCAUUCAAAAGCAAACUACUUAUAUGCACAUCUUCAGGGGGAGCCUUUUUCUACUUAUGAAGACAAUGUCGUAAUUCUCAACUUUCACAUACUUUUAUUCCCGUUGAAAACUUCAACCAGUUUGUCAUCAAUCACCAAAAGGGGGGAGAUUGUAAGUGCAUCUAGUGCCACCCCUAGCUGGUUUUGGAGUAUUGACGACAAACCUGGUUGAGGAACUAAUGUGUUUGUGAGAAUUUCAGGAUAACACAGGUAGUAGUCCCUCAUUGAUUCGGUUUACCUACCAAAGAUGACCCCUAAAAAUGUGUGAAGACAUUAAAGACAAUGGUGGUAUGUGAAGAGAUUCACAUUGAAGACUAUGACAUGAGAAGACAUCAUAUGAAGACUAUGGAGUACGAAGACAUAGUUGUUUCGUAGUUUCCUUUUCUUCUUUAUUGAGUCAUAGGAACCACCGUACUGUUAAGUGGGGUUCAAGUGAACAAAGUCAGAGUGACUGAAGUGAUGCUCAACCAAAUCCUAUGUCUUCGAGCGAAGACAAUGGGAGCAAAUCUCAUCCAGAGCUGGAUGAGUCAAUUUUACUUGAAGCCCAAGUCAAGCUGCCGGGUGUGUUUGAAAUCUGACCAUUGGACAUGUGUCAGUUCCUUAGUGACCCAGGGUCAUUUCGGACAAAUCAGGUCGGGUUGCCCCCCAGCUAUAAAUAGCCCACCCCCUACACCAUAAAUUGGUGGCUCCUCGGAGUUAGUGCGCGGCUUUUGUUGUUUGAGAGCAACCAGCCUCUGAAGCAUUUGAGAGAGAGAUCCUUGCGAAGACAAAGCCCAAAACACCCAGAGCCAAAGAGUGUUAGGCAUCACUGAAGUCUUUCUCUCUGCGUGACCUUAAGAAUUGUUACACUUGAGGACUGUGAAUCCUCCAGCCGGUUAGGCGUCGCGUUCUGAGCGUCCAAGAGUCAUUGUGGAUCACCGGUGAACGAAGUCUGUGAAGGUUUGGAAGUCUACCUUGAAUACUUACUAGAAUGAUUGGGCGAGGACUGUGUGUCCUUAGCUCAAGGGGAAUAAGGUGAAGACACGGUCUUUUGAGUUGAAUCUCAGGUUCCCUAACCAGACGUACAGUUGUCAGAGCAACUAAAACUGGUCUACCAAAUCCUUGUCUUCAUCAAGCUACUGGUUCUAUCCUUCACUUCCCUUUACUUUACAAUUUGUCUUCGUGAAGUCAUUGCAUGCAUGUAUGAUCAGAUUGACUUCACUAAGUGAAGACUCUUUACUGUUUGGCUUCAUACUAUCUUCCAUCCUGAUCCAUAUUGCCUAGCUGCUGAUAAUUUUCGUGUUUUCGCUUCAUUGCUUACUUGACUAUGGCCUGUCUAGUGUAGUCUACCUUCCGCUGCAUAUCAAUAGGUUCAUUUCUAUCAUUUGUCUUCAAAGCCCCCGUGUUUUGAUUAAUUUCAUAAAAAUCGCCUAUUCACCCCCCUCUAGUCGAUAACUAGCACUUUCAGCCGGCCGGCCUCCCCCUCCCCUCCUUUAUAUACGGGGACAGGGGGCACCCUAGAACACACAAGUUUCUCUUAGCCGAGUGCAGUGCCCCCCUCCACAGUUACACACCUCGGUCAUAUAGUCGUAGUGCUUAGGCGAAGCCCUGUGCCGGUAACAUCAUCAUCACCAUCGCCACGCCGUCGUGCUGACGGAACUCUCCCUCGUCCUCAACUGGAUCAAGAGAUCGAGGGACGUCAUCGAGCUGAACAUGUUCUGAACGGGGAGGUGCCAUAUGUUCGGUGCUUGGGUCAGUUGGAUCGCGAAGACGUUCGACUACAUCAACCGCGUUACUAAACGUUUCCACUUUCGGUCUAUGAGGGUACGUGGACACACUCUCCCCUCUCGUUGCUAUGCAUCUCCUAGAUAGAUAUUGCGUGAUCGUAGGAAUUUUUUUGAAAUACUGUGUUCCCCAACAGAUAAAUGUACUCAAAGGCCUAGGCGAGACAGUCCUGGAUGGCGCGAGUAUGUAGGAACCCAUAUUAUUUUUGUGUACUAUAUUCAGGACCACUUUUGGGUGUCUGUUCGCUGUCAUUAAUGAUCUGCCAACACACCUUGAGAAAACCUCCAUUAAAUCCAUCGAGGCCGGGGGCACGGUACAAGAGCAUCGUCCUAACCACCUCGUCGAUCUCAGCAUGAGUAAAAGGUGCAAAAAGAAUGUUGAGUCCCUCCACCUUUUUGAUGAUCAUGGUGAAAUCGAAUUUCAUGACCGAACUGGAAGCGCCCCCAAGCCUAGUUUUGUAUGUGUUGAACAACACUGCAUCUUUGGAGUUAUGGCCAGUCACCACCAAUCCGUCGGGUAAUUUUAGUGAGGAUAUGGAGUUCCUUUUGUAGCGCUCUAUAGCAAGAGCAUGGAAAAGUUUGGUAUUCUCUUCACCAAACUUCAUAUACCUGGCUGUGCAUCUCUUCCCCCAAUAUUGGCUCUGAUAAUGAAGAAGUUUAAGUAGGUGGGUUUUUAAAAUCAGCCUGAAGUUUGCUUCGGGCACAAUGAGUGGCCUCUGGUUUUCCAGCCCAUCUAAUUCAGUUAGGGACCAGUUGGAAUUUUGAAUGAGGACUGAGCGGCAUGAAAUGUUUUUAUUGUUGGGGAACGCGGUAUUUCAGAAAAAAAUACCUACGAUCAUGCAAGAUCUAUCUAGGAGAUGCAUAUCAACGAGCGGGGAGAGUGUCUCUACGUACCCUUGUAGACCAAAAGCGGAAGCGUUUAGUAACGCGGUUGAUGUACUCGAACAUUUUCGCGAUCCAACCGAUCCAAGCACCGAACGUACGGCACCUCCGUUUUCAGCACACGUACAGCUCGAUGGCAUCCCUCAAGCUCUUGAUCCAGUUGAGGCCGAGGGAGAGUUCUGUCAUCACGAUGGCGUGGCGACGAUGACGAUGAAGUUACCGGCGCAGGGCUUCGCCUAAGCACUACGACGAUAUGACCGACGUGUGUAACUGUGGAGGGGGGCACAGCACACGGCUAAGAGAUUGUCUGUUUUUGUUAUUGGGGUGCCCCCUGGCCACGUAUAUAAAGGAGGGAGGGAGAGAGGAGGCCGGCCAGGUUGGGCGUGCCAAGGGGGGGUCCUACUUGGACUCCUAGUCCAAGUAGGAUUCGCCCCCCCCCCCUUUUCCUUUCUUCCACCGGAGGGAAAGAGAAGGGAGAGAGAGGGGGGAAAGAGGGGGGCCGACCCCCUCCCCUAGUACAAUUCAGUUUGGGGAAGGGGAGGGCGUGCCCCUCUCUUGUGGCCCUUUGUCCUCUCCUCCAAUAAGGCCCACUAUGCCCAAUACUUCUCCCGGGGGGUUCCGGUAACCUCCUGGUACUCCGGAAAAAAGCCCGAACCACUCGGAACCAUUUUGAUGUCCAAAUGAAACCUUCCAAUAUAUGAAUCUUUAUGUCUCGACCAUUUCUAGACUCCUUGUCAUGUCCGCGAUCUCAUCCGAGACUCCGAACAAAGUUCGGUCAUCAAAUCACAUAACUCAUAAUACAAAUCGUCAUUGAACGUUAAGCGUGCGGACCCUACGAGUUCGAGAACUAUGUAGACAUGACCGAGACACAUCUCAGGUCAAUAACCAAUAGCGGAACCUGGAUGCUCAUAUUGGCUCCUACAUAUUCUACGAAGAUCUUUAUCGGUCAAACCAUAUAACAACAUACGUUGUUCCCUUUGUCAUCGGUAUGUUACUUGCCCGAGAUUCGAUCGUCGGUAUCAUCAUACCUAGUUCAAUCUCGUUACCGGCAAGUCUCUUUACUCGUUCCGUAAUGCAUCAUCCCGUGACUAACUCAUUAGUCACCUUGCUUGCAAGGCUUAUAGUGAUGUGGAUUACCGAGAGGGCCCAAAGAUACCUCUCCGAUACACAGAGUGACAAAUCCUAAUCUCGAUCUAUGCCAACCCAACAAACACCUUCAGAGACAUUUGUAGAGCAUCUUUAUAAUCACCUAGUUACGUUUGUGACGUUUGAUAGCACACAAGGUGUUCCUCGGUAUUUGGGAGUUGCAAAAUCUCAUAGUCAGAGGAACAUGUAUAAGUCAUGAUGAAAGCAAUAGCAAUGAAACUAAACGAUCAUUAUGCUAAGCUAACAGAUAUGUCUUGUCCAUCACAUCAUUCUCUAAUGAUGUGAUCCCGUUCAUCAAAUGACAACAAAUGUCUAUGGUCAGGAAACAUAACCAUCUUUGAUUAACGAGCUAGUCAAGUAGAGGCAUACUAGGGACACUCUGUUUUGUCUAUGUAUUCACACAUGUACUAAGUUUCCGGAUAAUACAAUUCUAGCAUGAAUAAUAAACAUUUAUCAUGAUAUAAGGAAAUAUAAAUAAAAACUUUAUUAUUGCCUCUAGCGCAUAUUUCCUUCAGUCUCCCACUUGCACUAGAGUCAAUAAUCUAGUUCACAUCGCCAUGUGAUUUACGCCAAUAGUUCAGAUCACCAUGUGAUUAGUUCACAUAGCCAUGUGACUAAUACCGAAAGGGUUUUACUAGAGUCAAUAAUCUAGUUCACAUCGCUAUGUGAUUAACACCCAAAGAGUACUAAGGUGUGAUCUUGUUUUGCUUGUGAGAGAAGCUUAGUCAAUGGGUCUGUCACAUUCAUAGCCGUAUGUAUUUUGCAAAUUUUGUAUGUCUACAAUGCUCUGCAUGGAGCUACUCUAGCUAAUUGCUCCCACUUUCAAUAUGUAUCCAGAUUGAGACUCGGAGUCAUCUGGAUCGGUGUAAAACUUUGCAUCAGCGUAACUCUUUACGACGAACUCUUUAUCACCUCCAUAACCGAGAAAUGUCUCCUUAGUCUUCUAAGGAUAAUUUUGACCGCUAUCAAGUGAUCCACUCCUGGAUCAAUAUCGUACCCCCUUGCCAAACUCAUGGCAAGGUACACAAUAGGUUUGGUACACACGAUAGCAUACUUUCUAGAACGUAUGGCUGAGGCAUAGGGAGUGACUUUCAUUCUCUUUCUAUUUUUUGCCGUGGUCGUGUUUUGAGUCUUACUCAACUUUACACAUUGCAAUACAGGCAAGAACUCCUUUUUGACUGUUCCACUUUCAACUAGUUCAAAAAUCUUGUCAAGGUAUGUACUCAUUGAAAAAUCUUAUCAAGCGCCUUGAUCUAUCUCUAUAGAUCUUGAUGCUCAAUGUGUAAGAAGCUUCACCGAGGUCUUUCUUUGAAAAACUCCUUUCAAACACUCCUUUAUGCUUUCCAUAAAAUUCUACAUAAUUUCCGAUCAACAAUAUGUCAUUCACAUAUACUUAUCAGAAAGGCUGUAGUGCUCCCACUCACUUUCUUGUAAAUACAAGCAUCUCCAAAAGUCUGUAUAAAACCAUAUGCUUUGAUCACACUAUCAAAGCGUAUAUUCCAACUCCGAGAGGCUUGCACCAGUCCAUAAAUGGAUCGCUGGAGCUUGCGCACUUUGUUAGCACCUUUUGGAUCGACAAAACCUUCUAGUUGCAUCAUACACAACUCUUCUUUAAGAAAUCCAUUAAGGAAAACAGUUUUGACAUCCAUUUUCCAGAUUUCAUAAAAUGCGGCAACUGCUAACAUGAUUCACAGACUUUAAGCAUCGAUACGAGUGAGUAAAUCUCAUCGUAGUCAACACUUUGAACUAGUCGAAAACCUUUUGCGACAAUGCAAGCUUUGUAGUUAGUAACACUACUAUCAGCGUCCGUCUUCCUCUUGAAGAUCCAUUUAUUCUCAAUGGCUCGCCGAUCAUCGGACAAGUCAAUCAAAGUCCAUACUUUGUUCUCAUACAUGGAUCCCAUCUCAGAUUUCAUGGCCUCGGGCCAUUUUGCGGAAUCUGGGCUCAUCAUCGCUUCCUCACAGUUCAUGGGUUCAUCAUGGUCUAGUAACAUGACUUCCUGAACAGGAUUGCUGUACCACUCUGGUGCGUAACGUACUCUGGUUGACCUACGAGGUUCGGUAGUAACUUGAUCUGAAGUUUCAUGAUCAUCAUCAUUAACUUGCUCACUAAUUGUUGUAGGCAUCACUAGAACGGAUUUCUGUGAUGAACCAUUUUCCAAUUCGGGAGAAGGUACAACUACCUCAUCAAGUUCUACCUUCCUCCCACUCACUUCUUUCGAGAGAAACUCCUUCUCUAGAAAGAAUCCAUUCUUAGCGACGAAUAUCUAGCCUUCGGAUCUGUGAUAGAAGGUGUACCCAACAGUUUCUUUUGGGUAUCCUAUGAAGACGCAUUUCUCCGAUUUGGGUUCGAGCUUAUCAGGUUGAAACUUUUUCAUAUAAGCAUCACAUCCCCAAAUUUAAAGAAAUGGCAGCUUAGGUUUCUUGCUAAACCAUAGUUCACAUGGUGUCGUCUCAACGGAUUUAGAUGGUGCCCUAUUUAACGUGAAUGCAGCUGUCUCUAAUGCAUAACCCCAAAACUAUAGUGGUAAAUUAGUAAGAGACAUCAUAGAUUGCACCAUAUCUAAUAAAGUAUGAUUACGACGUUCAGACACACCAUUAUGCUGUGGUGUUCCAGGUGGUGUGAGUUGUGAAACUAUUCCACAUUGUUUCAAAUGAAGACCAAACUUGUAACUCAAAUAUUCACCUCCACGAUCAGAUUGUAGAAACUUUAUUUUCUUGUUACAAUGAUUUUCCACUUUACUCUGAAAUUCUUUGAACUUUUCAAAUGCUUCAGACUUAUGUUUCAUCAAGUAGAUAUACCCAUAUAUGCUCAAAUCAUCUGUGAAGGUCAAAAAAUAAUGAUACCCGCCACGAGCCCCAACACUCAUCGGACCGCAUACAUCAGUAUGUGCUAUUUACAAUAAGUCAGUGGCUCGCUCCAUUGUUCCAGAGAACGGAGUCUUAGUCAUCUUGCCCAUGAGGCAUGGUUCGCAAGCAUCAAGUGAUUCCAAAAGUCCAUCCGCAUGGAGUUUCUUCAUGCGCUUUACGCCAAUAUGACCCAAACGGCAGUGCCACAAGUAUGUUGCACUAUCAUUAUCAACUUUGCAUCUUUUGGCAUCAAUAUUAUGAAUAUGUGUAUCACUACGAUCGAGAUUCAAUAAACCAUUCACCUUGGGUGUAUGACCACAGAAGGUUUUAUUCAUGUAAAAAGAAUAAGAAUUAUUCUUUGACUUAAAUGAAUAAUCGUAUUGCAAUAAACAUGAUCCAAUCAUAUUAUGCUCAACGCAAACACCAAAUAACAUUUAUUUAAGGUUCAAUACUAAUCCCGAAGGUAAAGGGAGUGUGCGAUGGUGAUCUUAUUAACCUUGGAAUCACUUCCAACACAUAUCGUCACCUUGCCCUCAACUAGUCUCUGUUUAUUUUAUAACUCCUGUUUCAAGUUACUAAUCAUAGCAACUAAACCAGUAUCAAAUACCCAGGGGCUACUAUGAAUACUAGUAAAGUACACAUCAAUAACAUGUAUAUCAUAUAUACUUUUGUUCACUUUGCCAUCCUUCUUAUCCGCCAAGUAUUUGGGGCAGUUCCGCUACCAGUGACCAUUUCCUUUGUAGUAGAAGCACUCAGUUUCAGGCUUGGGUCUAGCUUUGGGUUUAUUCAUGCGAGUGGCAACUUGCUUGUCAUUCUUCUUGCAGUUCCCUUUCUUUCCCUUGCCCUUUUACUUGAAACUAGUGGUCUUGUCAACCAUCAACACUUGAUGCUUUUCUUGAUUUCUACUUUUGUCGAUUUCAGCAUCGCGAAGAGCUCGGGGAAUCGUUUUCGUCAUCCCUUGCAUAUUAUAGUUCAUCACGAAGUUCCAGUAACUUGGUGAUGGUGACUAGAGAACUCUGUCAAUCACUAUCUUAUCUGGAAGAUUAAAUCCCACUUGAUUCAAGUGAUUGUAGUACUCGGACAUUCUGAGCACAUGCUCAUUGGUUGAGCUAUUCUCCUCCAUCUUGUAGGCAAAAUACUUGUCAGAGGUCUCAUACCUCUCGACUCGGGCAUGAGUCUAAAAUGCCAAUUUCAGCUCUUGGAACAUCUUAUAUGCUCCGUGGCGUUCAAAACAUUUUUGAAGUCCCGGUUCUAAGCCAUAAAGCAUGGUGCACUAAACUAUCAAGUAGUCACCAUACCGAGUGUCGGUGUCAAAACCGGCGGAUCUCGGGGAGGGGGUCCCGAACUGUGCGUCUAGGCGGAUGGUAACAGGAGGCAGGGGACAUGAAGUUUUUACCCAGGUUCGGGCCCUCUUGAUGGAGGUAAAACCCUAUGUCCUGCUUGAUUAAUAUUGAUGAUAUGGGUAUUACAAGAGUAGAUCUACCACGAGAUCAGAGAGGCUAAACCCUAGAAGCUAGCCUAUGGUAUGAUUGUAUGUUGUUGUUCUGUCCUACGGACUAAAACCCUUCGGUUUAUAUAGACACCGGAGAGGGCUAGGGUUACACAAGGUCGGUUACAAAGGAGGAGAUAUCCACAUCUGUACUGCCUAGCUUGCCUUCCACGCCAAGUAGAGUCCCAUCCGGACACGAGAAGAAGUCUUCAAUCUUGUAUCUUCAUAGUCUAACAGUUCGGCCAAAGGAUAUAGUCCGGCUGUCCGGAGACCCCCUAAUCUAGGACUCCCUCAGUAGCCCCUGAACCAGGCUUCAAUGACGAUGAGUCCGAAGCGCAGUAUUGUCUUCGGCAUUGCAAGGCGGGUUCCUCCUCCGAAUACACCACGGAAGAAUUUGAAUACAAGGAUAGUGUCCGACCCUGCAAAAUAAGCUCCACAUACCACCAUAGAGAGAAUAAUAUUUCCACAAAUCUAAUUUGCUGACUUGUUUUGGCAACAUGACAUUAUGUCAUGGCCCGGUGAUUAUUCGAACUGUUUCCUUUAACCAGCCCCGCACAUAACGCGAGGCAGUUUUUCGACACGUCUUGUCAAAGCCGAGAUCGUGUCCCCUUAUCGCGGGAUUCUCAUCAAUACGGGUGUGGGUAACCCAACCGCGCCAUCGAUUAUGGCGCUCGGGGGAUAAGCGAGUUUUACCAGGCUAGUGGGGACACUUGAUUUCGUCCGCCCAUAUAAAGAGAUAAGGAUUCACCUUUUCAUCCACGCCUUCUUCCUCCUUUGCUCAUCCAUUUUCGCACACUCAAGCUCCAGUGCCCAAUUCCGCACUUCCCACCUCAACCUUCUCCAACCAUGUCCGGAGCGGGAGCCAGGUGGAUGGUCUCCUCCGUCACGGAGGGACACAUCAAGAAGCUGAGGAGAGCCGGAUACCUGCCCGAUGACAUCGCGCACCGGCUGCCAGAUGAGGGGCAGCUCAUCCCCACCCCUAGGCCCCAUGAGAGGGUAGUGUUCCUUACCCAUUUCCUCCAUGGACUGGGAUUCCCUCUCCACCCAUUCGUCCGGGGGCUCAUGUUCUACUACGGCCUGGAUUUCCACGAUCUGGCCCCGAACUUCAUCCUCAACAUCUCGGCAUUUAUCGUCGUGUGCGAGGCCUUCCUCCGCAUCAAGCCCCACUUUAGCUUAUGGCUGAAGACCUUCAAUGUCAAGCCGAAGGUAGUGGGCGGCCGCCAGGCGGAGUGCGGAGGUGCCAUGGUGGGCAAGAUGCCCAACGAUACAUGUCUCGAGGGCUCCUUCGUGGAGACCAUAAAGGGGUGGCAAUCGGGCUGGUUCUACAUCACCGAGCCGUGUGACCCUGCAUGGGCAGCGGCCCCCGAGUUCCGAUCUGGCAUCCCCACGUGGCUCACCUCUUGGAAAGAGAAGGGCCUGUCCUGGGGUAGUUCGGGAGAGCUGACCGGACUCCAAACAUGUAUUCAAAACAUGGUGAACAAGAAGCUCAAACUCGUCAACGUAGUCCAGGUCAUGCUCAUCCGCCGGAUCCUCCCAUGUCAACAACAGGCUUUCAACUUGUGGGAGUACGACCCGGCCCAGCACCAAACUCUGAACAGGCUCUUCGAUACAACACACGAGGAUGCCUGGAAGGUGCUAUUCAAGGGCGCCGAGGUUCCUCCUCAUACUACCGAGGAUCGCGGAUUCUGCGCGAAGUGCCAAGCCAGCGCGGUAAGCUGUUUUACCUUUUACAGGACACUUGUUUUACAUAGUUUGACUCUAUGCGGGAUCUAAGCUCCUGUUCCUUUGACAGGACUGACAGGAAAUGGCCGGACAGAUCGACUGUCCGGCUCCUUUGCCCGAAGGCCCAGCAAACGCUCUCCUGAUGGAGAUGCUGACUCCGGCUCCUUACAAGGUGCCAGAGAAGACCAAGAAGGCCAAGGGAACCCGAAAGAGUUCCCGACGCCAGGUUGUAUCGGACUCAUCAUUCGAUGACUCUGCGGCACACUCCUCCCCCGAAGACGAGGAGGAAGAAGAAGAUGCUCCCCCUCCAGACGGGGGAGACAAGAAAAGGAAGGCCGCCCCAACUGGGGGGCGAAGGGUCCAAGAAGGGAAGGACUCUCCUUCCGGACAGCUCCACCGUCGCCGCCGAAGGCGAAGACGAGUGGUUGCCCAGGGCCAAGCCCCUGGGGAGGUCGUGAGUAUUCAGAUACUAGAGUAACUCAUAGCAUUCCUUUGUCGCAUUGCUUUCCCUAAUGCCGAAUAUGAUUAUGCAGGCCAGCAUGAGCCCAUAUCGAUGUAUCAUCGGGCGGCUCCCUGGGCUCGUCGGAUAUGGAUAGCGAUCCACUUCCGACCGCCACCUCCCCUUGCCCUGCGGACGACGCCGAGGUGUUGUCUCAAGAGGCACCGGGUCGAGGGGAGACAGUCCCGGAGGCGCCUCAAGGCUUCCUUCCGGACUCCGGGAGCCGAGGGGACAAGGCCCCUGAGGGCCCCGAGUUCGGCCCUAAGCCGAACACCGCGCCGGAACCUCCAGCGGUUCCAGACUCGGGCAGGCGGCCUCCUUCUAAGAGGGGCGAGACGCCUGUGCCGGUGACCUCUGUCCAUCCAGAGGCACCGGACAAUCUGCUGGAAGCGCUUCGCAGCGCUUCCAUCGACGAGGAGCACCGUACUAUUAUGAGUGCGGUGGUCUGGAAGGUUCAGUCCGCCAAGAGCGGAUUGACUGAAGCCUGUGCCAGCCUUCUAACAGGCUUUGAGGUAAGUGUUUUGAAAUAUAGGAAAAAUAUUAUCGCAUAGACAGUAGCCCCUGAUGCUCUGUUCGGUGUUCGAAAAGAAAAGCCAAAGAGAGGAUCAAAUAAUACCGCAGGAGUCUAACAUAAGUAUGUCUAUAUGCGUAUGCAGGCUUCGCUGCUGGCCUCGGCCGCACUGACUGUGGAGGUCACCACACUGAAGCAGGACCUCGAGGGGUCCAAGAAAGAGCUCGGCCUUGCCAAGAGGCAGCUCGAGGAGAACAAGGGUAAGUAAUACCCUGUCUAUAGAUGUGUAUAUAUAAAAGAAAACGCGAUUGCAGAAUGACAGGAUCAUCUUAUAUUUGCCAGGGGCCACGAUCAAGGUGGCGUCCCUGAAGCAAGCGCUAUCCGAGGCCGAAGAUAAAGCGGCCAAGGAGCGCACCGAGUGGGAAAGGCAAGACGCUCGGGUGGGCGAGGUGCAGCGAGAGCUCCAGGCUCUCGUGACGAAGCACGAGGCGUUGGAGCUUGACUAGAAGACGCGAGAGUCUGAGCUUGCCGCGGGCCUCGAGAGCGCAAAGAGUGCCAAGGCCAAAGCCCAAAAGGCCUUCCAGGAGAUUAACAAGAUGAAGAAAAUAGCGGCGGGUAAGGCAUUCUAUAUGCAAAGCAAGCAUGUGAAAGUAAAUUACCUAUUACUUACCCGGAUCCGGAGCUCUCCAGGAGCAUUCGCAGAUUUGCCCCGCAGCAUGUCGGAUGCCACACAAUUUUACCAGGACGAGGAGGGAAGCUCAACGGAGAAGCUGUUCUGGUCUCAGUAUACUGGGACCGAACACCCGGUGCCUAUGAGCGACUAGCUGAAGCAGCUAGUCGAGCUACACAAGGCGGCUGAACAGGCCAUGAAGGGCUUUAUAGUCUGGCUGUGGCCUGGCGACGCCCUUCCGAACAGCUACUUCGGCCUGGUGAGGCGGCUUGUGGAUGCCUGCCCACGGCUGGAAGUCGUCAAGCGGUCCGUCUGCAUCGAAGGUGCACGCCGAGCUUUCGCCCGUGUGAAGGUGCAAUGGGCCAAGCUAGACGCCGUGAAGCUGAUCAAGGAAGGACCGCCGCAGGGCAAGGAGCAUCGCACCCCCGAAAUUUAUUAUGAGGGUGUCCUGAAGGGUGCCCGUAUUGUAGCGGACGAAUGUUCAAAGGAUGUAAUAUUUGAGUAAACUUGCUUGUGUGAUCCUGUAUGAUGAAAACUUGUUUCAUAUGCGCUAUGCAACGCUUGUUCGAAUUUAAAAUAUUACCUUCUGUUUGGCUGUUUAUCCAAUCUGAGAGAUGGCUAGUCCUCGGCUUCUGCCCCCAUGCCGCGAGUGCUAGGGUGUUCGGGAUAAACCUGAGCACUCUUGUUCCCAUUUUUGGGUCCUUCGAGGGAGGUGCUCAGCACAACAAACAAGGCAACCGGACUAAUAAUGCUUUAUCACUCUCACUUAGCCAUAGAAUUCUAUAAUUUUAAAUUUCGGCGAAGCCCCUGGUAUUCGGAAGGCCAAAUUCGGGGCGCGAUACACGCCUUUAAGACGGAUAGGACCGACUCCUCGCUCUAAGCGGCAUAAGUCUUUAGGGACUCGAAACCUCGCCGAACAGCGACCAGUCUCUCGCCUUAUCAUGACAGUCAGUUUUAGCUUUCUCUACUGAGGUGCUUAGCCUAGCAGAACCGGGGCACAAUCGCAGUAGUUCUCCUAGCGCUACCUUAGCCGAUAGAGCGGAACGUAAGGUACCAAAACAUAGGAGCCGGGCAAACCCAACAUUUGACCAAAGACAUGAUUCGGAGCCGAUGCAUAUAAUGCUAUAAGUUCGGGGUGCCGCACUUGUGAAAGUGUUCGGACUUCUCACAUCGUAUUGUGGGGUACUUAAGCCCCUGGUGUAUUGGCCGUACCAAAGUGUAUGGUUGCAAGGCGUCAUUAAUGAACACAUAUAUAUAAAAAGAAGAAUGCAAUAAUAGUCUUAGUGCUAUGCAUUGUUUAUUCAAAAAGAUGCGUUAAAGCAGAAUGAUACAGAUAGUGUGAUAAGCAAAAAGUAGGACUAUGUCCCUUCCAAGGGCAAGCUGAGGAAUAGUAUUAAACAAAUAUUUCACUCGUUAUCGUAAUCCACCUGGGAGUUCCGUGGUGUGACGUAGCUUUCUGCCUCCUUGGCUGUUGCGUCGUGUGUUCGGCAAUCAUGUUGCCGGACAGGGUUUCCAGAGAUUAAAGUUCUUAAAGAGAAAAAUUAACAAAGCGGGAAGCCCCUAGUGCGGUUUAAGCCGCGUAUUGGGGCAUGCCGUAGUUGUGUCCCCCUCCCCGCCUGUGCCCAUGGUAUUUUAAAUGCGUAAUUAUGUACGCAGCACGAAUUUCGAUGUUUGGCUGGGACUGGGCUGGGGGCCACAUUGCUACGCGAGCUCAGAUCAUGCCAGGCGGUCUAGUUGCCGAUUACUCCGAGCGCGCUUGAGGGUGUCCGGGUCUUGAAACGCCGACCUGGUGGAUUGCCUUGAGAGGCUGCUUUGCGCUUCUGCUACGAGGGCCGCAGUGUGCUCCUUCGUAUGGAGAGAGCGCUCUGUGUUUCCAUUAACUGUAAUAACCCCACGAGGUCCUGGCAUCUUGAGCUUGAGGUAUGCAUAAUGCGGUACCGCAUUGAAUCUCGCAAAUGCGGUUCGCCCGAGCAGUGCAUGAUAACCACUGCGGAACGGGACUAUAUCGAAGAUUAAUUCUUCGCUUCGGAAGUUAUCCGGGGAUCCGAAGACCACUUCCAGUGUAAUUGAUCCUGUGCAAUGGGCCUCUACACCUGGAAUGACGCCUUUAAAGGUCAUUUUUGUGGGUUUGAUCCUUGAGGGGUCUAUACCCAUUUUGCGCACUGUGUCCUGAUGAAGCAGGUUCAGGUUGCGGCCGCCAUCCAUAAGGACUCGAGUGAGGUGAAAUCCGUCAAUGAUUGGGUCUAGUGCGGCGAAUCCGCCAUGACGGAUACUAGUGGGGUGGUCCCUGCGAUCGAAGGUGAUCGGACAAGAGGACCAUGGGUUGAACUUUGGGGCGACUGGCUCCAACGCAUAUACGUCCCUGAGCGCACGCUUCCGCUCCCUCUUGGGGAUGUGGGUUGCAUAUAUCAUGUUCACCGUCCGCACUUGUGGGGGGAACCUCUUCUGUCCUCCGGUGUUCGGCUGCCGGGGCUCUUCCUCGUCAUCGCUAUGUGGCCCCUUAUCUUUAUCUUAGGCAAUUAACUUGCCGGCCUGCUUGAACACCCAACAAUCCCUGUUGGUGUGGUUGGCUGGCUUGUCGGGGGUGCUGUGUAUUUGACAUGAGUGAUCGAGUAUACGGUCCAAACUGGGCGGGCCUGGAGUCCUUCUUUUGAAUGGCUUUUUCCGCUGACCGGUUUUAGAGCCUUUGUAUCCAGCAUUGAUUGAUGUAUCUUCAGUAUUAUCGCUGUUAAUGCGGCGCUUAUGUUUGUUGCGACGUGACCUGCUAUUGCCGUCCUUGGUAUCCGAAGUACCAUGGUUCUUUGACAUAUUGUUACUGCGAGCCAGCCAGCUGUCUUCUCCCGCACAAAAGCGGGUCAUGAGUGUCGUGAGGGCUGCCAUAGAUUUCGGCUUUUCCUGUCUAAGGUGCCGGGCAAGCCACUCGUCACGGAUGUUAUGCUUGAAGGCUGCUAGGGCCUCUAUAUCCGGACAGUCGACGAUUUGAUUUUUCUUUGUUAGGAACCGAGUCCAGAAUUGCCUGGCCGAUUCUUCUGGCUGCUGAAUUAUGUGGCUCAAGUCAUCGGCAUCUGGUGGUCGCACAUAAGUGCGCUGAAAGUUGUUGAGGAAUGCGGCUUCCAGAUCUUCCCAACAGCUAAUGGACUCUGCUGGCAAGCUGUUAAGCCAAUGCCGCGCUGGUCCUUUGAGCUUUAGUGGGAGGUAUUUGAUGGCGUGUAAGUCAUCGCCGCGGGCCAUGUGGAUGUGGAGGAGGAAAUCCUCGAUCCAUACCGCAGGAUCUGUUGUGUCGUCGUAUGAUUCAAUAUUUACGGGUUUGAAACCCUCUGGGAUUUGAUGAUCCAUUACUUCGUCUGUGAAGCAUAGGGGGUGUGCGGCGCCUCUGUAUUGGGCUAUAUCGCGACACAGCUCGAAUGGGUCUUGCCCGCUGUGUUCGGCCCGGUCGGAUUUAUUUUUACUGUAUCCGGCAUGACGUUUAUCGUCUCGCAUAGUGGCGUGCCCCCGUGAUCCGUAGAUCGAUCUUGCAUGUUUUGCUUUGUCCUCCAAUAUGUCUCGCAGGUCUAGUGUAUUUCCCCAUGAUUUUUUAUUUGAAUGGCGUCGGGGUGCGGGCUGAGUUUUUGGCUAGAAUGCCUCUCUAUCACGGCCACAAGGUGGCCGAUCAGCCGCGUCAUACGCUUCUUCCUCCAGUCGAGGUAGCAACCUGCAUUUUGGGUAACUCUUGGAGGGGCGCUCGAGUUUAUAUUCCUCAGCCAUGAGGACUUCAGUCGAUCUGUCAGCUAGCAGAUCUUGAUCAGCUUGAAGCUGCUGUUGCUUUUUCUUAAGGCUAUUUGUCGUGGCCAUAAGCCGGCGCUUGAAGCGCUCUUGUUCGACGGGAUCCUCUGGCACGGCGAAUUCAUCAUCGUUGAGGCUUGCCUCGUCUUCGGAGGGGGGCAUGUAAUUAUCAUCCUCCGCUUCUCCGCCUGCCGCUCUCUCAGGAGGGCUGGCUCCUACAUCUUCCUGCUCUAAAUCUUGCUGGAGGGGAUUGUUGUUAUCUUCGGCACUAUCCGGAGUGUUAUUAUCUCCUAUGCGGUAUCACCACUUUUGCUUUGGCGGGACUUAGAGCGGCGCCGCUGAUGUCGGUGCAUGGGUUGCUUCUUGGAGGGGUCAUCCUCCGUUGUCUCGUCGCCACUGCCUUCUUUGGGUGUGUCCACCAUGUAUAUAUUGUAUGAUGAGGUGGCUCUCUAGUGCCAUGUGGGCAGUGGUUCAUCUUUGUCUCCCGCAUCGUCGUCCAUACCGUCGAUGUCUUCGGAGUCAAAGUCGAGCAUGUCGGUUAAGUCAUCGACAGUGGCUACUAAGUGGGUGGUGGGCGGGCCGUGAAUUUCUUCGUCGUCCGCAUCCCAAUCCUGCCGGACAUGGUUCGGCCAGGAUCCUCCUGACAAGAAGAGAGACCUUAACGAGUUCAGUAUGUCACCAAAGGGCGAGUGCUGAAAAAUAUCCGCAGAGGUAAACUCCAUGAUCGGAGCCCAAUCGGGUUCACUAGGAACGGGCGCAGGCUGUUCGGAGGCCGUGACCGGAGAGAGAUCCGGCAGUAUGUCAACACGGCUCUCAUACAGAGUAAGGUCGAUGUUCGACUCGAUCGCCGAUGAGGGUAAGGCCUCCGUGGUGGGGUCCAUCCACCCGUCCAUGGAUGGCGCAACUGGCUCCGAAUUGAGGGUCGGAGCGGCUGUCGCUGCGAUCUCCUGAACACUAUCUGAUGGUAGAGCUAAAUCAUACUCAUCAUGACCGUGUGACGCACAAGGCAGAGGCACGAAUUCGUCGAAGAUCAAGUCUCCGCGGAUAUCGGCCGUGUAGUUUAAGCUUCCAAACCUGACCUGAUGGCCAGGGGCAUAGCUUUCAAUCUGCUCCAGAUGGCCAAGCGAAUUGGCCCACAGUGCAAAGCCGCCGAAUACAAAAAUCUGUCUGGGGAGAAAAGUAUCACCCUGGACUGCAUCGCUAACAAUGAUAGAAGGAGCCAUCAAGCCUAACGGCAAUGACACAGAGAAACUCUCAAUGAAAGAACCAAUGUCGGUGUCAAAACCGGCGGAUCUCGGGUAGGGGGUCCCGAACUGUGCGUCUAGGCGGAUGGUAACAGGAGGCAGGGUACACGAAGUUUUUACCCAGGUUCGGCCCCUCUUGAUGGAGGUAAAACCCUACGUCCUGCUUGAUUAAUAUUCAUGAUAUGGGUAGUACAAGAGUAGAUCUACCACGAGAUCAGAGAGGCUAAACCCUAGAAGCUAGCCUAUGGUAUGAUUGUAUGUUGUUGUUCUGUCCUACGGACUAAAACCCUCCGGUUUCUAUAGACAUCGAAGAGGGCUAGGGUUACACAAGGUCGGUUACAAAGGAGGAGAUAUCCAUAUCCGUACUGCCUAGCUUGCCUUCCACGCCAAGUAGAGUCCCAUCCGGACACGAGACGGAGUCUUCAAUCUUGUAUCUUCAUAGUCUAACAGUCCGACCAAAGGAUAUAGUCCGGCUGUCCGGAGGCCCCCUAAUCCAGGACUCCCUCACCGAGCUUGUCAAACGUUCAUAACAUCUGCAUCAGCCCUUGUAAUAGGUCUGACACCUAGCGGUGCAUCAAGGACAUAAUUCUUCUGUGAAGCAACAAGGAUAAUCCUUAGAUCACGGACCUAGUCCGCAUCAUUGCUACUAUCAUAUUUCAACUUAGUUUUCUCUAGGAACAUAUUAAAAGAUAAAAUAGGGGAGCUAUACGCGAGCUAUUGAUCUACAACAUAGAUAUGCAAAAACUAUCAGGUACUAAGUUCAUGAUAAAUUAAAGUUCAAUUAAUCAUAUUACUUAAGAACUUCCACUUAGAUAGGCAUCCCUCUAAUCAUCUAAGUUAUCACGUGAUCCAUAUCAACUAAACCAUGUCCGAUCAUCACGUGAGAUGGAGUAGUUUUCAAUGGUGAACAUCACUAUGUUGAUCAUAUCUACUAUACGAUUCACACUCGACCUUUCGGUCUCCAGUGUUCCGAGGACAUAUCUGCAUAUGCGAGGCUCAUCAAGUUUAACCCGAGUAUUCUGCAUGUGCAAAACUGGCUUGCCCCGCUGUAUGUGAACGUAGAGCUUAUCACACCCGAUCAUCACGUGGUGUCUCGGCACGACGAGCUGUCACAGCGGUGCAUACUCAGGGAGAACACUUAUACCUUGAAAUUUUAGUAAGAGAUCAUCUCAUAAUGCUACCGUCGUACUAAGCAAAAUAAGAUGCAUAAAAGAUAAACAUCACAUGCAAUCAAAAUAUGUGACAUGAUAUGGCCAUUAUCAUCUUGUGCCUUUGAUCUCCAUCUCCAAAGUACCGUCAUGAUCUCCACCGUUACCGGCAUAACACCAUGAUCUCCAUCAUGUUGAUCUCUAUCAAUGUGUCGUCACAUGGUCGUCUCGCCAACUAUUGCUUUUGCAACUAUUGCUAUCGCAUAGCGAUAAAGUAAAUCAAUUAUAUGGCGCUUGCAUCUUAUGCAACAAAGAGACAACCAUAAGGCUCCUGCCAGUUGCCGAUAACUCUAACAAAACAUGAUCAUCUCAUACAACAAUUUGUAUCUCAUCACGUCUUGACCAUAUCACAUCACAACAAGCCCUGCAAAAACAAGUUAGACGUCCUCUACUUUGUUGUUGCAAGUUUUACGUGGCUGCUACGGGCUUCUAGCAAGAACCGUUCUUACCUACGCAUCAAAACCACAACGAUUUUUUGUCAAGUGUGUUGUUUUAACCUUCAACAAGGACCGGGCGUAGUCAAACUUGAUUCAACUAAAGUUGGAGAAACAGACACCCGCUAGCCACCUAUGUGAGAAGCACGUCGGUAGAACCAGUGUCAUGAACACGGUCAUGUAAUGUCGGUCCGGGCCGCUUCCUACAACAAUACCGCUGAAUCAAAGUAAGACGUUGCUGGUAAGCAGUAUGACUAUCAUCGCCCACAACUCUUUGUGUUCUACUUGUGCAUAUAACAUCCACGCAUAGACUUAGCUCGGAUGCCACUGUUGGGGAACGCAGUAUUUCAAAAAAAUUACCUACGAUCACGCAUGAUCUAUCUAGGAGAUGCAUAUCAACGAGCAGGGAGGGUGUGUCUACGUACCCUCGUAGACCGAAAGCGGAAGCGUUUAGUAACGCGGUUGAUGUAGUUGAACGUCUUCGUGAUCCAACCGAUCCAAGCACCGAAUAUACGGCACCUCCGUGUUCAGCUCACGUUCAGCUCGAUGACGUCCCUCGAGCUCUUGAUCCAGUUGAGGCCGAGGGAGAGUUCCUUCAGCAUGACGGCAUGGCGACGGUGAUGAUGAAGUUACCGGCGCAGGGCUUCGCCUAAGCACUGCGACGAUAUGACUGAGGUGUGUAACUGUGGAGGGGGGCACUGCACACGGCUAAGAGAUUGUUUGUUGUUGUUAUUGGGGUGUCCCUGGCCACGUAUAUAAAGGAGGGAGGGAGAGAGGAGGCCGGCCAGGUUGGGCACGCCAAGGGGGGAGUCCUAGUCCAAGUAGGAUUCGGCCCCCCUUUUCCUUUCUUCCACCAGAGGGAAAGGGAAGGGAGAGAGAGGGGGAGGAAAGAGGGGGCCGGCCCCCUCCCCUAGUCCGCCCCUAUCUUAUGGCCCUUUCUCCUCUCCUCCAAUAAGGCCCACUAAGCCCAAUACUUCUCCUGAGGGGUUCCGGUAACCACCUGGUACUCCGGAAAAAAAGCCCGAACCACUCGGAACCAUUUUGAUGUCCAAAUGAAACCUUCCAAUAUAUGAAUCUUUAUGUCUCGACCAUUUCUAGACUCCUUGUCAUGUCCGCGAUCUCAUCCGAGACUCCGAACAAAGUUCGGUCAUCAAAUCACAUAACUCAUAAUACAAAUCGUCAUUGAACGUUAAGCGUGCGGACCCUACGAGUUCGAGAACUAUGUAGACAUGACCGAGACACAUCUCGGGUCAAUAACCAAUAGCGGAACCUGGAUGCUCAUAUUGGCUCCUACAUAUUCUACGAAGAUCUUUAUCGGUCAAACCAUAUAACAACAUACGUUGUUCCCUUUGUCAUCGGUAUGUUACUUGCCCGAGAUUCGAUCGUCGGUAUCAUCAUACCUAGUUCAAUCUCGUUACCGGCAAGUCUCUUUACUCGUUUCGUAAUGCAUCAUCCCGUGACUAACUCAUUAGUCACCUUGCUUGCAAGGCUUAUAGUGAUGUGGAUUACCGAGAGGGCCCAAAGAUACCUCUCCGAUACACAGAGUGACAAAUCCUAAUCUCGAUCUAUGCCAACCUAACAAACACCUUCAGAGACAUCUGUAGAGCAUCUUUAUAAUCAUCCAGUUACGUUGUGACGUUUGAUAGCACACAAGGUGUUCCUCCGGUAUUCGGGAGUUGCAUAAUCUCAUAGUCAGAGGAACAUGUAGAAGUCAUGAUGAAAGCAAUAGCAAUAAAACUAAAUGAUGAUUAUGCUAAGCUAACGGAUGGGUCUUGUCCAUCACAUCAUUCUCUAAUGAUGAUCUCGUCCAUCAAAUGACAACACAUGUCUAUGGUCAGGAAACAUAACCAUCUUUGAUUAACGAGCUAGUCAAGUAGAGGCAUACUAGGGACACUUUGUUUUGUCUAUGUACCACACAUGUACUAAGUUUCUGGUUUAUAAAAUUCUAGCAUGAAUAAUAGACAUUUAUCAUUAUAUAAGGAAUAUAUAAAUAACAACUUUAUUAUUGCCUAUAGGGUAUAUUUCCUUCAUUUAUUCCAGCUCUUGAGGUCAGAUCACAAAUAUUUCGUGUUUCUACAUAACAAAGCGGCACUAUUGUUGACAUGGCAGGGUUUAUUCCAAGAGGAUUUGACCACAUUAAGAAAUCCCAGGUGAUUGAUCCAAUAGUUUUCAAAUUGUUUUUUUUUCUCUUGGGGAUUGAAGUUUCAAUGUUCACCACACACGGAGUAUGAUCCGACACUGGUUUCCCAAGUGUUGUGACAAUGGUGUUUGGGAAGGAUCAUGUCCAAUGGCAGGAGGAAAAGAACCAGUCUAUCUAUUCCAAUAGUGGGUCUGUUUGCAUGUUGCUCCAACUGCAAGAUCUACCUUUCAAGGGUAUUUCAAUUAGUGCUUGUGCCCGGACGAUAUCAUUAAAGAGCAGAAUAUCAUUUGCAUUACCCCCUAGUUUGUCUCGAUUAUUGGAGGAUCUCGUAAAAAUUUAGUCCCCCACUAAGAGCCAUUCAUCAGUAUCCGGGAUUACUAAAUCAUACAACCAAUUGGUGAAUAACAUCCGGUCCCCUCCACUGCAUGACCCAUACACAUUGAAUAAACUCCAUGAAUGUCCCAAAACUUUGGAAUUAAAUUCAAUACCCAAUGCAAAGAAAUCUGAAAAGGAACAUUUCCAUCAAAUGCAGAGCCAUUCCAGAUAAUAAUUAAGCCACCAGAUGCACCACAAGAAGGUAUAAAAAGCAAACUUAUCAAGCCGACGCGGGCAAAAAGUUUUAAUAUAAGUCUGAUCAAAAGAUGCAUGCUUAUUCUCCUGCAAGCAAACGAUAUUACAACCAGAGGCACUGAUCACAUUCUUAAUCAUUAAAGUCUUAUUGUCCGAAUUUAUUCCAUGAAUGUUCCAAGCUAGCACGUUCCACUGAAGGCACAGGGUCAUGGAAGCUAGGUUGAGGAAGACGGCGCACUCUCCUGUGUCGCUAGAAGCUUGGCAGGAGAGAGCUCCUCAACAGGGAUGCCGUAGCGCGUCGUACCAAUCCGCUGCAACAUUUGGAUGGACGUCGGAGGAGGGAUCACGCCUGGCGCCGCAAAGGUAGUGGUGGACUGGGUUGGAGCAACGGGGACUUGGCGAGGUUUGACCUUGAUAUUGUAUUGUCGCCCCUCCGCCAUGGACGUGGCCUUGAAGCCAUCGUAACGAUUAGCUCUGAUACUGCGGCGCAGGGUACUGGGAUCAAUCUCUCCUCCUCCAUGCUUCUUCUUCUCUUUGUGCACUAUGAUCAAAUGAACAACCUCAUCUUCCAUUGCCACAUUAGCAGAUAAGUUGGUGUAGUGACAUUUCUUGGCCGGCGUAGAAGAUAGUUUAGUCGACGGUUUUUCGCCCAUCACCUAAUAUACGAUCUUGCAUGACGGAGGAAGUGGUACCAUCAAGAUUUUAUUCUCUAUGACGGCGCUUCAGUGACGGUGGGGGUGACAGUCAGAAAACAUCGUCACUGUAUUUUUUGUGACGAAAAAGAGUUAUACAUGACACAGUUGAACCGUCGCAAAUUAGAGCAAAGUUUGUAUUGUGCCGCUUCAAAGCUAGAGCGGUACACUAGCUUGGGUGGAUAGAACUUGCCCAACUUCACAAGUGAGCGGUACAAACCACUGCCCCUAACAGUACAACUGGGUGAGUAGUUUCAGUGCAAAGCAGAUUUGAGUUCUCUCCUCAAAAUCAGAUAAGAAGGCUAGGUGGGUGCAAUAUGAGAUUUGUGUACAUGAUUUGAUUCCACCCGUACCUUCCAACACGGCCCCCCUUUUAAUAGGACCGAUUUCCUACAUCCGAAGAAAUAAAAGCGUCGAAAAUGCUGUCUUUGAUCUCUUCUUUCCAAAGGGGUAACUAAGCGUCUUGUGCCAUAUAGAUGUGUGUGUAAAUCAAGCACGCGGUUAGCCCGCAAAUUACGUUGUCAUCAACACCAAAAUAUACUUAGCGAGCGAAAUGCACUUCCAUCAUUGCAUUGGUCAAUGUAUGCUUUUUGUAUUACUACAAAUAAAGCAACAACGAUGUGAAACUAUAUAGUAACCGUUGCUCGACAAUUUUAAAUAGUUUAGAUCAACUGGGAGAGCUCCCUGACUCCAUUUCAUAAGAAGCCCGAACACAAAUGCCUAGUUCACAAGAAGCUUCAAUGGGAAACAUAAAAACAGACCUGCAGAAGGUGCUUAAUACAUAAAAUGGCACCGUGCAGCCUAAAUAGGAUUGCAUCAAAAACAUAUACAGAGAGCUAUAGAUGGGAGUCGGGAGGGCAGCAGAAGUCGAGGUCGAGCUAGGCAAAGAGCUGAUCAACGUUGUACAGUCAAUCUAGAACCGGAAAAACUGUCUUGCAGUUUUGAUAGCACUCGAAAAAAUCCCCUAGUACUCUUUCUGCAAAGAAAUACAGUAUAAGACAUCUUAGAUUACUAAGAUUUUAUAUUUCUUUAUAGAGUACGAGGCCACAACCGAGAGUAAAAAGUCCAGAAGGGUAGUAGAACCGUGACAAAGUGACAGCAGAGCACAUGAAGAAACAUAACGGCAUCUGUAGCUCCCAUGCCGAGCGGUAUAGGACUGUUGUCUCCAUCAUGCAGAAGAAGCCAGUGCGCGCCCUAUCCCGCAGAGCAAAAACGUGGCCGCGGUCAGCUAGCUUCACCCCACUCCACUCCACUCCAGCAAAAAUUUACUCGUAGCACCAGACGCCGCUACGAACUGAAUGCCCGCGUAGGUGUAGGUGGCUCCCCAAUAAUUCAGCGCCCAGCUCCCCCAGCCUUUUCCCUGAGCCCUGACGACGAAAUUUACUGCACCCUGCAGACACCAGGCCUGCUGCCUGCACCUGCACCUACACGGUGGGUGUCAUGCAAAUGCAACAGUCACCGCAAGUCGCUCGCUGCCUGCCCGGGUUCGUUCGUUCAAUGGACGGCACAUGCUACGUACUGCCACCGUUUUUCCGUGAAUUCGUAGGUCAAGAUCCCGGCCGAACAGCUACACGCUAGCACGAGCUGCAGCUAGGGUGCCAUCUGGUUGACAAGACGCCCUAGGUUUGUUGCAUUCACUCGUCGACGCCCCUCUGCUCAGGUUCAAACUACGAAAACGGGUGGCAGUAAUAAAAAUCGUCGGUGCUGCCUCGAGUCGCAGGCAGGCAGGUCGAUCUACUGGCCUUGACUCCUUGACUCCUUUGACCCCCUGUGGCAUGGAUGAACGACGGCGUAUGAGUCCUACUGUAUAUUCAGUUGAUGUCGCGUAGAUUCAGUCAGGUACGUACUACAUUGUUCUGAAACGGGAAAUGCUGAACGUAGCGGUACUAGUACUACUACUCAUACUUACUGUGGCUCAUUUCAAGCACCUUGAUGGCACAUCCACUCUUGCAAAACUGGCUGUCCUCGGCAGUGGACAUAAAUGCACAUUCAAGUUUCCAGAUUUCAAUAGCUGAUACGUAUAAUGCAGGUCCUGAUUGUGCAGCAACAGUGGCCAUCUGACCGUAUCUCACCGUGCGCCCAACUGAUGAGAUCUACUCGAUGCUCAAGGAAAGUACGACGGUGGAGUGCCGUUGUACCAAGAUCUCCCGCUAAUUGCCAAAUAAGCGUACAGAGGUGGUGGCCGUCCAGGCCAAGUGAGGCCACUGCUCCAAAUCAUUAUCCUCCGCCCAAAUUGGCAUAGUAAAACAAGGUGCACUAACAGAAAGCGUAUCCAUCCAGCCCGACGAAGGAUAAGCAGGCCCCCCUCCUCAUUAUCCAGGGCAAAGUUAAAAUACUCCAACAGAAUACAAGAUCUCGGCACUAAUCAUUCUGUGCAGAGGAAAACAACAAGCUAACGGUCAUGAAGCAUCAUUUCCCCGAUCCUCUUGGAUCAAUGGAGAUGGAUAACAAGAUUCAGACAAAAUGCACAGCACGACAUUACAAAGAUCUGGCCGCGGCCAUGCAAUGCACUUGUAAAAAUGAUGAGUAUUGAAGACAAGAGAUCCCAAGAAGCCAAGCAGGCCCCCACACGAAUCAAUUUCCUAACAGAGUACACAGAGAGUACAUAGGAGGAGAGAGGAGACACAGCCCGUAUCCUGCAUCAGUAGCCGUUGCUGCGGCGGGCCACAUGCGCGCCCACUAAGCUCGGCGACAAUGCCAUGGCACAGGAGGAGCAUCAUGCCAAGCACCACCCACAUGGCCACCUGACCUCCCCCCUAACCACGAGAUCAGAAACCCCAACGGCUACUUCCCCCACCCACUUGCUUGGCGGGCACAUGAGGCUGCGGCGCCAAACGCUAAUCUGAACUAGGAAAAGAAUUACAGAAAAAAUGGUAGAGUACAAGCUACUGAACUGAAUCUGACAUGACGAAUGCCGGCUGAGGGACGCCGGAGAGUACUAC